ACUAGCACACGAGUUGAGGUUUACAACCUAUCGUGUUGACAUUAUUUUGAUUCUGUGCCAAUCCAAUCGAGUUAAUUAUGCAUGUGAGUUCUAUGAGUUCUCAUUUUGAACGCAUAAAAGGCAAAGCACCUUAAUCAAUGAAAGGUACAUUGAUAGGAAAGGGUGAGCUGCUUAACUACUUGGAAGACAUGGUGGGCAGCUGUGCUACCAUAAGGCAAGAAAUCAAGAUUAAGAAAGUUCGGUCCAUAUGAGUUUGAAUUUGUCGUAAACUUUGGUUUUAACAAAUUCACAUGGAUAGGAACACAUACACCGUUUAAAUCUAAGUGUCAUAAGAUUUCCUCCUUCAUGAAAAUGAUUGUGAGGAAAUGCUUUCACUAAGAAAGAUUUUAAGAAGAUAGUGAUUGUAAAAUUGCAUUCUCGAAUUCGAUUAUGGUUACGGUAUCCCUUUCCAUAAUUUGAAUUGUGAGGUUUGGCAAUUAGUCUUAAUUGUUUAGACACACAUAUGAACUAUCGAAGGCAAAGGUGUAUAAGUUCAAGAAGCCUUGAUAAAAGAUUAUCAAAGCACUAAGUAUUAGAAACAUGAACUUAAGAAAUUCAAUAAGCAUUGUUUUUCUGAAAGUUAAGAUGUUUAUGAAUACAUGUCGAAGCUAGUGGGAGCAUAAGUGUUAUGUUUUAUAAUAAUCAUCAUGAUAGUGGGAGCAUAAAAGUUAUGAUUGUAUGAUUAUUAAGGAAAGUAUUGCAAGGUUAGCAAUAUUAAUUAUAGAAAACAAGAGUCAUACUUUGCAAAGUUGUAAGAGUUGAAAAGUUGUUUUGCUAUAAUUAAGGGAGAGAAUAUUAUGCUUCAUUUCAAAUCUAAAGGAUUAGGUUGAGAAAUGUUAAUAAAUUUAGUCAAAGGUACAUAGUGUGUUCUUAAAAUUUCGAUUAUGAUUACGGCAUUCCUCUUCACAAUUCGAAUUUUGAGAACAUAGCAAAUAAAACAUUAUGCGUCGUGUCCCAUACGCUUCGGGUAUAGGAUCGAUUGCAAAUGCUUUAAUGUUUGACCAUUCUAAAAUUUUCCAAAUGUCUAGCGCAUUUAGAGGGAAAAGGGACUAGAAUCGGUUUUGACUAAAAUAAUUAAACAACUAUCAAAGGACAAUCCAAAGUUCGACGAGGAUUGGUCGCUUGUGAGUAGUUGGAAGUAUAGUAUUGGAAAAUAUGGAAAUGUUUCCAUAUUGGAUGGACCAUAUCGACAUUAUUAUGAAUAGAUAAGAUUCUAUUAAGAAUGAGUUGUCAUAUGGAAAAUAUGGAAACGUGUCCAUAUUGGGAAUUGAAUAUUGAAAAUCUAUGUCUAGAUUAGAAACUUUUAUGCAAAAGGAUGUUCAAAGGAAUGUACUUUGAGUGAGAGACAUCAUAUCUAAGGAAUUGUCUUGUAACAAUCUCCGAUAGAGGACUUUGUAAUAUCAUUGGCAAUAGUCUUUGUGACUUUGGUGCAGUGACAUUACGAAAGGAUAGUUGCAUAGAAUGUUAGAAUCUAGCAUAUUCUAUAAGUAGCAAGAAUUUGAUAUUCUUUCACUUAUGAAAAAGGAUUUGGAGUUGUGAAAUGAGAAUGAUUGGAAAUGUGUUCAAUUUGAUCUAUUUCACAAAGUAAGAACCAUAGGUAAACAUUGUGUGCAUGCUAGGAGCAUGGGACAAGUGUAAUAAUUCAAGUAAGAAGUUGAUUACCCGAAACGACAAAUAAUGAGUAAUCGAUAUGGUGAUAAAUAAAAGGUGUUUUAUUUAUACUCAAAGGUUUGAGGCCAUAUGGGAUUAGUAUUAUUCUUGUGUUUCACUUUGCAUGUUUUGACUUCCUGAAUAAUUUAAUUGGUUAAGAACAGUCAAAUUAUUCAAACGGGCCACAGUCGUUCAUAUGUUGGAAGUAGGUAUGAAUGAAGACUGUCGUGAAUUGGUGUGUGGAUUGUCUAAAGAGUAUUAGACAUAAGCAAAUGUUUGCUGCAACGUUCAUGAGUGCUUAUGAAUAUGAUUUGAGCAUUGGAUUAAACCCACGCUCACUUGGAUCACUCCAUGAAUUGUAUCACGAGUGAUUGGUGAGACGAUAACAUCUUAUAUUCUUGAAACCGAGAUGUGUGAGUUGUAUCUUGCAAAUCGGUUGCACAUUGAUAAUAUGUAAACGCACUAGUAACUUGGUGUUAUAAAACAUAUUGUUGUGUGUGAUUCGGUGAGUAAGUGCAAGCAAGCAUUGUAUCAAAGUUUAUCCGUUCCUUUUAUCCAAAGUAGGAUAAAAGCGAUAUCUUUGGGCCCCUCGAUGAUUUAGUGAUGACAAACGUAAAUGCUCGGCCGGGCUAGGGCUAAUUUGAUUUGUUCAAUUAGUCAGUCGUCAUAAAUCGGGAAUCGAGAUAUAGUACAAAGAGAAUGAUUUGAAAUCAUAUCUCAUAUGAUAUCUAGAAUGGAGGAAUAUAUGAUCCCUUAUCUAAGGACACGCGUAUCUGAUAGGAUCAGAGUUGACAGCGGCUUUGGAAAGCUACGAUUGCAGAUCAGGAUCUGAAGUCAUACGCAUAAUAGUUAUUAGACUUAUCCAAGUGGGAGACUGUUGGAUUAGUGUCUAAGUCCAUAACUAUUUUGGUAUGUACUUGACCCGAUGGUGCAUGGUCCUUUUGGGUUGCCUUCACCAAAGCAACUUGAUAGGAUGAAUUAUGGAGAGAAAGGAUUAAAUAUGAUUUAUUAAUAUAUUAUGAGAAUAAUAUAUUAAAGGAGAAAUCAUAUUGUUUAAUUAAUAUUAGUCAAUAAUUAAUUGGUAAUUAGUUUUGUGACUAAAAGAGAUUAAUUAAACUUAAGGGACUGGAAUUGUAAUUAUAAGAUAAUUAUAAUUUGGGCUAUGGAUUGCCUUAUAUUAAGGAGUGGACAAAUUCUAUGGGGAAGCCCAUAAGAAAUCGUCCAAGCCCUUAAGGAAAGGAAUCCAUGGGUUGCUUAGGGCUUAAGCAUACAAAUUAGGGUUUCCUUGUUAGAUAACCCUAAUAGCCUUACUAUAUAUAAGACCCUUAUGACCCAAAAACGUGGUGAAGCUUUCUUCUAGGGUUAGAACACGUUUUGGGCAGCCUCCAUCCUCUCUCCUCUUCAUCAUCUUGCUUAUGGUGUUUGUGAACCAUUAGAGGAGUGACACUUGUGACUCUAAGCCUUCCAAAGUCAAUACAAGGAGAUUUGGGAUUGUUAUUGCUACAUAACAAUAAAGGUAAUAUUAUAAACCUAUUCUUAUAUUAAUAUGAUUACUUGAAUGUUAGAAUUAGGGUUUAUAGUCUUGGAUAACUUGCAUAUACAAUAGAGAAACCUAGAUCCAAGCAUUAGGGUUUGUAUGAGCACAUAGGAUGUCUUAGGACCAAAACCCAUCAAAAAGUCCUUAAUACAUGGUCUUAAUCCAUUAAGACCUUCUAUAAGAAGCAUGGAGCCAAACUAGCUAAAGGGACCACAUUUUUAUGGCUUAAAACCCUUCUAAGGGUCUGAAAGGACAACCCAAAACUUCCAAAACCAAACAUGCAUAACAAUGGUACUUUUGGGACAAAAAGAACAUCAUAAAGCUAGCAAAAUGAGAUCCAAGAAAACAAAGCAUAAAGGUAGCAACUUUCUACCUUCUGGAGCUUCCCAAGAAGGUGAUGAUCCAAGAUCCACAUGCUUGCUUCAACUUCUAAUCUCCUUGAUGCAAAUCCUUCUUCUUUAAGCACAUAAAGAACACACUUUUAGCUCAACACACUCUCUUAUUGGGUUAGGGUUUGCCAAAAACGACUCAAAGGAUUGGGGGAUGAAAGGAUGAGGCUAAAUGAUCCAUAAAGGUGCACAAAUAACCCACACAACCUAAAAUUUAUGGUUUUACUCAGACAUUAAUACGCCCAGCAUACAUAUGUGUACGCCCGGCGUACUAGGGCGCGCCCUAGUACGCUUGGCGUACUCACAUAUACGCUUCGCGUACACCUUCCUUUCCCAAAAUUACCAUUUUGCCAUUAGUGCUUAUUAGGGCUAUCUUCUUACAAUACAAGGUCCGAAAGGACAUAAUUUAAAGCUAAAUGAGAGAUUUGAAAAUACCUGAAAACUCGGGAUGUUACAUUUGAUGACAUCGCUCAACCACCCACUUCAUCUUAUCCUCCCUUGGUUUAAAUAUUCUUCUGGGUUUUUGGUUUACAUAAUCUCAUCUCCUUGGUUUUUGAUUUGCACCAAGAAGGGUAAGAUCAGCAACCAAAAAAAACCCUUUAGUUGCAGGAAUAGAGAUCAAAUCAAGGAAGCUAUGAGUUUUAGCUUCCUGAGUUGUCGGUGGAGGCAAGGUCAGUGACGGAGCCUUGGUCUCACAUGAGACAUUGUGCACUGCAGGCAAAGAGAUAGCGUUCAAUGAAUUAGAUAAUUUCUUUUCAUUAAAUAACCUAAAAAAAUUUAUAUAGGUUGUCACGAGUCUAGUUGAGUCAAGAUGCGUGUCGAGAUGAAGUUGAGUAAACCUUGUUCCAGUUCCUUCUGUCUUCUAAUUUUUAUGUUAUGUAUAGUAAAUUACUAAUAUUUUUCUAUUUCUUUUUCUCUGUUAGAAAAGAGAGAGUUUCCAAUUUUUUACUUCACUUCAAUACUCAAUACAAUAACAAUAUUCAAUAAAAUAAAUAAGAAAUUGGGAAUGAUAGUCUUUUUCUCGCAUCCAUUCUUCAUACGAUUGUCAGAACAAAAAUCUUGGAUGCAACGAAAUGGAAAUUUUUAUCAAGCCGUGAUCUCAUAGCUAUCCAUGUUUUUACAAUAAGACACAAGAUAAAGAUGACGUAGGUGGGUUCAAUCGGUUUAAUCAAGGGGGUGUUUGAUUAACAAGGGAAGAAGAAGAUGGUUGGGAAAUGACUAAGUUGAUAUUAAUGCUUCAUUGAUUCUUAUUCCAUUUUUUACAUGGAUUUGCUUCUCUGAUCUGGGAUUUUUUUCAUUUGAUUGAAAAUGAAAGUGAAAAGUAAGGAAGAAGAUGGAAAAAAGAGAAAGAGUGUCACAAAGAGAGAGAGAGAGAGAGAAGGACAUUUUCUUUAUUUUUUAAUUAUAAAAUUAUUAAAAUUGAUAUUAAAAAUGAAAAAUAAAUCAAAAGGGUAAAAAAGUAUGUUUCAGGUUUUGUAAUGACCAAAAUGGACUAAAAGCAUAAGAAUUUUUUGAUUUUGGACCUUCCAUGCAAGUCAGAAACUUUUUGGACCCUAUCGACAGUUUUUACGAAACCACAAGGACCAAUUUUGUAGUUUUGUGAAAUGUUAAUAAAUUUUUGGACCAAACUUGAAAUAAAAUUAUUAUUUUGGACCAUUAGUGCAACUCAAAAACAUUUUGUACCAAAGUCCCAAUUUUUGACAUACUAUAGGGACCAAAUUUGAAUUUUGUCAAGACUUAUACUGCUUAAGUUGUCAAAUAUAAAACAAACUAAACCAAUGUGCUCUAAGUCAAUUCAUUUGCAAAUCUAAUGCCUCUUGACUUUGUCUGACUAUCAGAUUUGGUUGGUGACAUUAGCUUAGGGAACAUAUCAACAAGGUUUCCUUUUGCUAUAAUUUUAUUGACUAUGAUGUCUUCACAUUUGAAUAGCUAUCAAAUGUUUUUCUACAUACUAAGUAUAUGCCAUGUGAGCUUGUGUGACUUGGGAUCCGUGCUCAAGGUAAGUUCACCCUUAUAGACACAAGAACCUUCAUAAAGACCAUCAAUGAUUGAAUCUCAACAAUUAUUUCACUUAUGAAUCUCUUUUAGUUGCAUAGCCAUCCUUUGCAUUCUAACUAGUUGCAAUAAACUCCAAGUUUAUUCUCAAAUCCAUUGUGGUGUAUUACUUGCUACUCUUCCAAGCUAAUACUUCAUCACUCAGUAAAAUCAUGAAUCUUUAUUGCGAACGAAAAUCGUCUUUAUUAGUGUGGAACAGAGCAUCAAUGUAACCUUACAUUAAUCUCUUCCAUACUAAGAACAUAUCCUUUAUCCUCCCAGGACACUAAGGAAUGUACUUCAUUUUGAUUUAUCGAUUAUUUCCUAGUUGAUAUGAUCCAAACUAUCAUGCUCAAGGCAUAUAAGAUAUCAAAUCUAGUAUUUUUCAUGACAUAUAUGAUUGAUCACAUUAGAAGAAUCAUGUUGGACACAACUCCUUCAUCUCAAUAAGAGAACUAGGAAAUCCACAUUGCUUAAUAUCAUUUCAUACUUUAUAAGCAUGAACUCUCUUGGAGUUCUGCAUCUUAAUUUUCCUCAAGAUUUUAUGUACUUUUGCUUAAUCUAAUGAAUUAGUAAGAUCUAUCUCCAUAGAUCCUUACAUUCUGUACAUGUGUUGCUUUUCCCUUGUAUUUUAAAGCUAAACAAUUCCUAAGCUAAGUUAAACAUUGUUUCUUAGGAAUCGUUUAUUAUGCGUAUACUUUACAAGGGUGAUAAUAGUGCUCUCAUUAGCAUUGACACAUAUAUGGAUCAUCUUCAUUUCUUGAAAUUCCAACUCCUUGAAUUUUAUCAUUGAAACAAGGAUUCCAAUUAUCCCCAUUGUCUUUUACAUAUUUAAGGUCCACCUUCAUUUCUCAGAAUUCAAACUUCUUGAAUUCUCUCAUUGAAGCAAAUAUUCCAAUAAUGUGAGAUGCUUGUUUUAGUUCAUAACUGAACUUCCUGAGCUCACACUUCUUAGUUUAACUACAUGUUUAUUCACAUACAUAUUUGUUAUCUUCUUGAAGAUGCACUAACACUUACGAUUUUAAGGUCAAGUUUUUUAUUAGUCAAAUUUCAAACUUACAUGGAUUGAUUAUGUCUCUCUAAGUUAUCCUUUCAUCUUGCAACCUCUUAGGGCCUGUCAUAGCUUCCAAUAGCUGGCAUACUCUAAUUUCUAUCUACAAGUGACUCAAAUUUCUCAGUAAUAAGAUUGUAUAUAACUAGUUCUACGACGUCCUCUAUCAAGUCUUAUUAGGAAGAGUUAGAUGGAUGUUAGUUUCCUUAAUAGCUCACUCAACCCUGAGUUGAAUGUUAGGUAUAAAUUUAGGUUCUUCUUUGGAUGCCUCUUGAAUAUUAUCAAGAUAGGUAUGGUUAUCACUAUCUCUUUAUGAUAUCAGCUCCCUCUCAAGGAGGGCUGUCCUUUGAGCAACAAACAUUCUACUCUCAAAAGCUAUCAAUUAUUUGUAUGUGUUAAUGUUAGUAUGGUUUAAAGUAGUAUCUGAACAAUUCAGAUAUGGAAUGAUGUACUGGAGGUCAUGUAAUAUGACCUAUUCCAUAUGGGAGGAUGUAUAGGUGGUCAUGUAAAGUGAUCUAGUCUAUACGAGACAAUAUGAGAAAUUGAACUAAAAGGACUACUCAUAUAUGAUAUCAAUUUGUUGUAAAGUUUAUAAUAGAGACAUAUAUUAAAAGGGAAAAUAUCCCAAGAUAUAUUUUAAUAUAUAAUGAAAAUAGGUGGAACCCAUAAGUUUAAAUUGUGUAAAUACAUUUAUUGUAUAUUUAAACAACUAUUAAAAGUGUAAGGAACAUGUUUUGGGUCUAAACCUAUAAAACUUAUGAGAUAUUAUUGUCUUAUGUAUGUUUGUUUAUAUGCAAUGUGUUUCAGGUCCAUGUUCUAAACAUUAGAUGUUCAUGCAUAUAUUGAUAGUAGUGAACUCUUAAAGGAUAGAACCUGGGCAUUGUUUCUAUACUAUUGCUAUAUUCACUGCUUUACUAUGGUUUUGUCUAAAUCAGUUGUAACGCCCAAAUUAUGUAUUUUAUAAAUCAUUGUAAAAAUGAUUAUCUGUAAUGAAAAUUUUGGGAUCAGGUUUUUAUAAACAUGGUUUAAAUGUCAAAAAAACAUAUUAAAAACCAUGGUAAUAGUUUUAUAAAAAUCGGGUGUUACACCAACCUUCUAUGUGGUAAAAUCUUUGUGUAUCAUAGUAGAGAAAAUAGAGGCUAUACCAUACAACAAAAAUGUAACAUCUAAUGUAAGUAUCCAAUCUUUCAACGUAUGGAUUUAUUUAAAGAAUGAACACCAUAAUUUAUAGUUGGUCACGAUGUGAGAGAGUAUGUCUCAUGACGUGACCAUCAGACUAAAAUGUGUGGCCAUUCUAGUGGGUUACAACGUGACACAUAGGUGUUCACCUUGUCAUAAUGGGUUAACCCUAAUCCUGUUUUUUUCGCCUUAUUUAAGGGAAGUGUUAGGCUAGGUUUUGCACACCCUCAGCCUCCAUCACCUUCUUCCUACCCAAAUCAAUAUUAGCCUCCUUUAUGAUCUUGAAGAGAUCAUUUGCUAAUUUUUGGCUCCUUGAAAUAGAAGAAGACCCCUUAGGUGCAUCAUUUUUGGCAACAAGUCCCUUCCUCGCCACCUUGCAUUGUUUCUGGACCUUGUAAGUCUUAAAGCUAUUGCCUUUCACUCUUAUGCAUGCUCUAUCUAGGAUUUAUGCUUUUAUUUCGAUAGUCGGGUUGGAUAACAUUCAUGGGAUCCAUAAAGUUAGCAAGGUUAUGGAUGAUUGAGGCAUUUUCUCUGGUAUAAGUUUUAGAUCUGAAUUUUGGUUUUGGUUUUAGACUCCAAACAUGAGUUUUGGCCUUAUUUUCUCCUUUUGACCUUAUUAGUGUUUAAGUCAUGUAUUGGACAUGCAUGACUAAAAAGCUAUGAUUUUUAUGGACCUUAGGGUGGGAGAAAACCCUCAGGAAAGUCUAUAGGAUUAGCCUAAGGGAUUAAGAGAAUAAUGCUCAAGGUUGUCCAGUACAAAUCUCACGACAUGACGAUUGGCAUGUCAUAUCGUGACGACAAUGCAACCACGAUUGUUUUGUCCUGGUUCACCCAUGACGUGAUCUAUGGGUGGUCAUGACAUGACCAUCAGCUGAGGUUGACCAUUGUUGACUUUUUGACCAUGGUUGAAUUUUUAACAAUGGUUUAAUUUUGGUUCAAAAUACGGUUGUAAGGAUGUAGGCUGAAAGGCUAUGUCUUUGCUGCUAUUAGGUGUCUUGUUGAUCCUGUCUACCAUGUGUGUGAAAGUUGUUGUGUUUCUAGCUGCUAUUCGCAAGGUAAGUCUUCUCACUCUAUUUACCUAUGUGGUAUUUAUUUCUAUGACUAACUAGGUCUUAAUUGUUGAUUACUGUUAUGUGGAAAUUGAAUUGAAUUAUUAAGGACUUCGGAAUUGUUGAGUAUCCCCAUGUUUGUUAAUAACCACAUAAACAAGUUGUGAAUUCGCAGGGCAUGUUGUUAGCCCACUGGGAUUGCUGAUAACCCAUAGUUGUAUAUUAUGUUGGUUGUAUGGAUAUUUUGGGAAGGAAUCACUAAGCUUUAUGCUUACAUAUGUGGAUUAAAUGUGUUUUAGGUACUUUUGAUGAUCACGAGAAGGCGAAGGCUUAACUGUACACUCGGGCUUGUAGAUUUUGAUAUUUACCUCAUUUGAUACUCUGAUAUGGGAUUAUUAUACUUGACAUUCCUAGAAAUUAUUUGACUUGGUUUUUAUAACAUGAGAGGUUUUCAAAAAUAAAAAUGAAAAAUUUUGUGGUAAAAAUUUGGAUGGUACAACUUGGUAUCAGAACCCUGCUCUGAGGGAUUUGGAUGAACAUUUGUGGGAUUCUAGACUCAAACUAAGGAUCUGGUAGUUUUAUAAAAACCAUUUUAGCAAAGAAUGAAUUUCAAGGAAAGGAAUGGUGGAAGCACGGUGUACAGUCAGCUAGAACUCGAGGCAGUGAUCUCCAAAAUAUCCAUAUCUAUGUUAUAUGUUGUAUUAUAGUUUUUGUUAUUGAGCUGAUAGAAAUGGAUGCUAGUUGGUAGGCUAAAGAUCCCUCUGAAACUUUAGGAUAGGGUUUCCUGACUUUGUGAUGCCUUAUAGCUUAGGAGAUUACUUGUGGAUGUUGUUCUAUGUUUGAAGCUAAGAUUGCUAACUGCUUUGUGUAAACUGCAUGGUUGUACGUAGUUAGGAUUUAUAGCCUUAAAAUGAUUGGUUUAGCCUUAGUUUGUAUUCCUUGUUUGUUUGUGGAUUUGGGGUGGAAUCUUUUAUUCUAAUGUCUAUUAAGUGUGGGUUAUGUAUAAUUGGUUUACACGGAGCCAUUGGAGAGGCUAGCAUAGACUUCUUUCAGAUUAGAGAUGUAGCUGAGUGUAGACUUAUAUGGUAUAUCUAAGGGUUUAGAUGAGGCUCCUUGAUCACCUUGGUGUAUAUGUGUUGCUUCUGUGGAAGCAGGGUGUUUGUGAUUCAGGACCUUGAUAUGGAAUCUAAAUCAACUACGGAUAGGUGUGGAAGGUAGUACAUGACCAUACUACUAAAGCAUAGGUGAUUUGGAAGGAGUCUCAAGGUUACUGAGGGGGAUUUUAUUGGAUUAUACGCUUGCUUGUGCUUUUAGUCUGCCUUUGACCUUUUAUUUGUAUUUUAGUAUGGUGAAUACCUAAGCUUCAGGCUCCAACGGCCUGGAGAAGCAGGGUGUCAGUGCCGAUGAGAUUCGUAGGAUCAUUGUCGUGGAGGUGGCCAUGACAGGUACAAAGGCUAUCGAGGAGGAAUUUGGGUCUAUCAAGACCACGAUGAUCGAGAUGUUUGAUGAGUGUUAUGUUGCUGUCACCGAGGUUGUUGUUGUAUCCACCAUUGUUGUCGUCGCCACGAGAUCCCAUUGGGGUGAUUCGAUGCAGUACCAGGAGUUCAACAACACGAAGCCCCAAAGUUUGAUAUAGUCAAGGAUCCGAUUGCAACUAUGAGGUGGAUUGUUGAUGUUGAAGGAUGCUUUUAUACCUGCUCCUAUCCAUAUGAUCUGAGGGUUUGCAUUUUCAUUGAACCUACUUCACUUGUGAGAGAAGGACUGGUGGAAGCUCGUCACUGCUGAAUUAUCACCUACGGUGAAGGCUGCAGUGACCUGGGAUUGGUUUGUUGAGAUGUUUUGGGAGAAGUAUGUCCCCUUGGUGGAGUGGGAGCGAUUGGCUCAGGAGUAUCUUUCGCUCCAGCAGACAACUGAGACAGUGACUGAGAUCACCAGGAUGUUCCAUGAGAGAUCAAUGUUUUGUCUAGAGUACGCAUCCACUAAGCAGACACAGAUGACCCGAUACUUUAGUAUGCUCAAGAAGGACAUCAGAGAGUUUGUGACGAGCUCCUAGUACCAGACAUUGGCUAACCUAUAGUCCAAUACCAUGAGGAGGAAGAUCGAUUUGGAGUUGCAGGAGAGAGAGAUCGGGAUGGAUACUCAGAGGAGGGAUAGGAGACCAGUCCGAUCACAAUUGGUGGCUAAGUGGGCAAAGCCGGCCGAUUCGAGAGCAUGAGGUCAUAGGAGCUGCACUUACAGCAAGUGCAACAAUGGUAAUGAGGGUCCAUGUCGAUCGGGAUCGGUAUGCUACUUAUAUGGAAAGGAGGGACACUUUGCGAAGGAGUGCCCGAAGGGUUUAUGAGUUUUUUUUUUCAACUGCAACUAGGCGGUCCAUGUGAAGGACGAAUGUCCACUUCUUGCAUUGAAGUCAGUUCAGAAUCCUGCUCCUAUGACCAUGCGCAUCACUGAUGGGCAUCAACGGAUGGUUGAGUCCCCGAAGGCCAAGGGUCAAGCUUUUCAGUUGACUGCAGAGGAGGCCAAAGCAGCACUUGAUGUUGUUUUUUGUUUGUAUUUGUUUUAUAUUUAUAUUGAAUUAUUUUGUUGUAUAUGCUUAUGUUGUGAUUUUGUUAGGUACUUUCCUUAUGAAUUCUAUACCUGCCUCGGUAUAAUUUGAAUCGGGUGCGAGUUGCUUAUUUGUGUCUAUAUCUUUUUGUAGAGCUUUUAGUGUUGUUUGUGAGCCUGGGAUCGACCUUUGAAGGUUGCUAUAGCUGAUGAUCGUAUUGUCAUGGCUUCGGUGAUAUACCAAGACUGUGUAUUGGAUAUUUUCAGUGUGCGAUUACCAAUUGGCAUCAUCCCUAUUGCGAUUGCAAAGGCGCCAUAUUGUGUCAUGCCAUACGAGAUGCAAUAGUUAUCCUCCUAACUACGGGAGAUGAUGGGGAAGGAUUUUAUUCGGCCGAGUAGCUCACCGUGUGGAGCAUCGAUCCUUUUUGUCAAGAAGAAGUAUGGUUUACACUAGAUGUGCAUUGAUUAGUAGGGGUUGAACAAGUUGACGGUGAAGAACCGAUAUCUAUUGUUGUGGAUUAAUGACCUUUUGCUGAAUUACAAAGGGCAUCUUGGUUUUCCAAGAUCGACUUGAGGUCCAGUAAUCAUCAGAUGAGGGUUCGGGAGGAGGAUAUGCCGAAAAUGGCUUUCUGAACUCGCUAUGGGAAUUACAAGUUAGUGGUGAUGCCUUUUGGACUCACCAACGCACCGACAUCAUUCAUGGAUCUCAUUAAUCGGGUGUGUAGGCCUAUGUAUGAUUAUUUAGUGAUUGUUUUCAUAGAUGAUAUCUUGGUCUAUUCCAAGACCAAGGAGCAGCAUAAGGAUCAUUUGUCUGAGCUUCUUUGAGCUCUUAGGGCAGAGAGGUUGUACAACAAUUUAUCCAAAUGUGAGUUCUGGUUACGCGAGGCUUAGUUUUUGAGGAACCACGUCAACCAGGAUGGUAUAUUGAACGACCCAACCAAGACUAAGGCGGUUAUGUUAUGGGAAGUUCUAAAAUAUGUUAGAUUAGGUGUCUAAGCCCAUAACUAUAAUUGGUAUGUACUUAACCCGAGAGUAGCAUGGUCCAUUUCGGGUUGCCUUCACCAGAACAAUUUGACAGGAUGGAUAUUUGAGAAAGAGGUUAUUUGUGAUCUAUUAAUAUAUUAAAAGAAUAAUAUAUUAAUUGAGAAAUCAUAUUAUUUAAUUGGUAUUGAUCAAGAAUUAAUUUAGUGAUCAAAAGAGGCUGAUCUCAAGAUUGAAUUGGUAGUUGUACAAUUAUAGUCAGUAAUACUUAUAGUUUGGGCUAAAGAUCCAUGUUGAUUAGGAUUAGACUAAAUCUUUGUGAGAGUCCAUGAAAAGUUGGUCCAAAAGGCUAAUGAGUUAUUGGAUUAAAAGCCCAGGUGAAUUAGGGUUUACAAGUUGAAACCCUAGGAAUUCCAAACUAUAAAAUAAACCUCUAGCUUGCUAAAAUCGGACCCCGAAGACUCCUAAGGUGAAUGCCUAGCUGAUUUUAGGUUCAUAACCUCUCUCUCAUAUUCAUCCAAUUGUUAUUGGUAUUAGUGAAAGUGCAAUGGGAAUCAUCAGUUGGGACAUAGUAGGUAAUGGAAGUCAUGGGUGUGACUCAUGAGCAGCGGUCGGGGGAGGAGAUGAGGAAGCAUUAACCAGACCCUAUGCAUCAGCAGACUUCGAGGACGAAGUCUAGUUCAAGUGGGGGAGAUUUGUAACGCUUGGUUUAUGUGUUAUUCAGUUUUCAGCAUUUUUAGACUUUUAGGUUGGAACUCGACGAGUUGAAGAGUUCCAAAUCGUCGAGUAGAGAUCAGUUGGAAGGCCUCAACUCGACGAGUAGACACUGGAAAGGAAAACUCUAAUUUUCAGGGUUUGUACCCUAUUUAAAGGCCUUAAGCCUAACUUGUAGCCUCCCUUAUCACCCUCUUUGUCCAGGGAAACCCUAAAUCGUGUCUCAUAUCCCAUUUUGAGUAUGUAAGGGCUUAAGGAGUGCCUUUUUGGUUUUUAUAUGAAGAAGCUUGAAGUGGUUGGUGCAUAGUUGAAGGGAGAGGUUGUAGAUCCGGUGUUUACUAUGUUGUGGCAAUCAUUUUAAGGUAUAAAGUCGAAACCUUGACCUUCCUUUUCUUAGAUCUUCUUCUAUAAAAGUUUAUGGACAUUAUUAUCCUAAUUUGGUACCCUUCUUGGUUUUGAGCAUGAUUUGAAGAUAUGGCUUUAGAUCUGGACAUAUCAGGGCCUUUGGGGACUUAAAUUUGCCAACCUUAUCAAGUCUUUUCCCUCCUUCAUGCUUUAGGUCCCUUGACAAGCUUUGAUUAAGUGUUUUAGCCUCUUAAGGCCUUUCAUCAACGUAAAGUUAGCAACUUUACGUGAUAUUUCGAUCCUAAGGGACUAGAUCUGUAGUUUGGGGUUUUAGAUUCGAAUGAAAGGGCUCAAUAUGUUAUGAAAGGGGGAAAACUCAACGAGUUGCCCUGGCAACUCGACGAGUAGGAUUGGGUUUUCCCGUUUUCGGUAUAUAGAGUGAACUUGGCGAGUUGGCAAGAUAACUCGACGAGUUGGUUAAGUUUUUCCACAGUUUUCUGAACAACUGAAGGAACUCAACGAGUUUCUAUAUGCACUCGACGAGUUGGGUCAACAUAGACUGUUGACCUUGAUUGUUGACUUUGACUUUGACCAGGAGUUGACUAGGGUUAGCCAUUAGGUAUUUUAGGCCUUUUGGUAUUAGGCCUUCUCGAGUUAGGCCCAUUGAUGGAUUAUGGACUUUAUAGUGUUGGGCUUGUGUUUGGGUUUGGGGCUUAGUUUUGGAUCAUACUGGGCUAGGGAUAGAAUGGUCAUUUUACCCCAUGUAUGGAUUAUGGGUUAUAGCAUGGAACCCAAUUGCUAAUUGGGUAUAUUGAUUGGUAGUGACAGUUCGGGAAGCUGGAAGGGCAGCAACUAAGGAUUUCAUUCAGGAAGAUUUUGCAUUCGAGGUGAGUCUCCUCGCCAUACCAAUGGGUCUAAGGCACCAAGGCGGUCCUAUUUAUCUAGUUGUGAUGAUUAUUGCGGAUGUGCUACUAAUGCAUUAUGUAUUUAUGUGAAGACUAUGCGGGGGUUCCUAUGGCAAGUAGGUAUAUAUGUGGUAUGCUAGUUGAUUGUGUGGUAUUUGGUAUGCUAGUUGUCUUUGUGAUACUUUCAUGGAAGAACCCGGGGGUUCCCGAGGCAGUUGGAUAUAAGACCAUGUGGGGGUUCCUAUGGCAUUCCAGGAUAAGACCAUGUGGGGGUUCCCAUGGAAGUAGGCUAAGACUAUGAGGGGGUUCCUAUGGAAUCCAAUGUAAGACCUUGGAGGGUUUCCAGGGCAUCCUUACAUGUUUGUAUGUAUGAUUUAUAUGGAAGGUAGUUGAGACCAUGUGAGGGUUCCCAUGGCAGUGCGCUAAGACCAUGAGGGGGUUCCUAUGGCACCCGGAGUAAGACCUUGGAGGGUUUCCACGACUUCCCUAUUUAUCUACAUGCAUGGCUUGAGUAGUUGUUAUGAUUUAUGUGAUUAUGUGUAUAAGACCUUGGAAGGUUUCCAUGGCAUCCUUAUAUGUCUAUAUGCAUGGUUAUGCGAUUGAUAUGGUUUAUGUGAUUAUGUGGGGUAUGCUCUGUGGAACUCACUAAGCUUCAUGCCUACAGUUUUGUUUAUGGUUUCAGGUAUCAUCGGUUGGAAAGGAAGGGAUCGGCUUGAUCGCAGCGCACACAUUCGUGUUUUCCAAAAUAUUUAAUUUUGGGAUGAACUUUGAUAAAUGUUUUUAAUGAGCAAUGUUUUGGGGAAGCUUGGAUUUAAAAGAUAUAUGUGUUUUGACCAUAAUGAAAAAUGAAAUUUUUACCCUUUAUUUUUGGAGUCGUUAUAGGUGAAAGAUGAUGAGAAGCGAUGACCCAGUCAUCUACCAGAGUAUAGAUGACAACCACAGACAAUUCUAGAUAGUCCAGUGGAACACUAGUAGGAUCGCAACCUGUAGGUGUUGUGAACGAUAUGUUCCUCAGAUGUACUCUAAAAACUCAUUGACAUAUAUUGUGGGUGGACUCCCUAAAAUAACACUGUCAAUAAAAGAGAUAAACCCCGACAGCUAUGGACUUAGUGCCUAACAAAUAACAUUGGCAGCUAUGAACUUAGUGCCUGUUGUAUAAACCCUGACAGCGAUGGACUUCGUGCCUAUUCCUUAGGACAAUCCUUAGGAAUGAAUGAGUGAAUGAUAGAUGAUUAUUAGGGUAGAUCCUUAAGAAAUAAAGAAGAUAAUGGGGAUGGGUAAUUGGGUUAACUGUUAGAUAAUGAAACAUAAUAACUUUAUUAAUGUGGGUUGAAAACCCUAUGUACUCACCCGGUUUUCCAACCUGACCCACUCAGUUUAUUUGUAUCACAGGUGUCGAUACGAAACUGCAUUACACUGAGACAUUAACAGAGAUGUAAAUCAUUAGUAUAAAUGAAUGGAAGGUCUGUUUAUGCUUAUGUUUCUGUAUUAACAAUAACAUCCCAAAGUUUUAAUAUAAACAAAAUACAUUUCUUCAGAAAUGCUUUGAUGAUAUAUUUAUCAUGUUUUCUAGGAACAAAUUCCGCAAUAUUAUUCUUUUACAUACAUACUCUGAUUUUCAAAUAAGCAUAAAUAAAAUUUUUAAAAUGACCGUGAAUUUGGGGAUGUCACAUCACUCUUACACUAACAGAUGAAAUUAGUCAUUUCACAAGUAUUUAACCUCUUUUUUAACAGAGUUAAUUAAAAGGACCAAUCAUGCAAGGUCUUCAAACCAUAAGGACCAAUGGUGUUAUAUUUUUUAUAGUUGUCCUCAAAAUGUGAUAUUUUGCAAACCAUGAGGAUCAAUUAUGAAAUUUUGUGUAACAUAAAUUUACUUUUUAUAUUUUAGAUAAAAUUACAUAAAUGGUCAUUGUGGUUUACUAAAAGUCACAAACCCACUUCAUGCUAAUUCUUUUUACAAACAUGAUCUCUAUGGUUUCCAAAACUUGCGUACAUGAUCGUUCCUUUUGCUAAUACCAUUAGUUUUCGUCCGUUAAUGUGAGGGUAAUUUGAUACUUUUGAACAACAAAGACUGAGUUUGUGACCAUUGGUAGACCAUCGGGACCAUUUAUCUAAUGUUGUCUACAUUUUAUGUUUACAAGUUUGUGGCUUUUCCACCCUUUUAUUUUUUUUAAAUAUCACUUUGACCAUUCACUUUGAACUUUGUAAAAUGAUAUUUUCACCCCUCCGUUUAUUAAGCUUUUGUGUUUAUCUUGUUCGUUAACCUAAGACAAUAACGUUUUAUGCGCUUAUUUUUAUAUAUGUGUCGGUAUAAAUUCACGGUAAUCAACAUUUUGAUGUGAAUUUAAAACUUUCGUUCGUUAAUUUUAUUUUAAAAAACUUACUUGUUUUUUUUAUUCCAUGUGUCAUUUAAGUUCGAGUUUGUCUACGUUUCAACGUAAUUUCCUACGUUUUCGUGCUUAAUUUAUGCACGUUUUGUUCGUAUGAGUCGCGUCACAUAUAAUAAUUUGUGUUCAUUAACUUAAAAAAAUGUAUUAUAUUUGAGUUAGUCUAUGUUUCGAUAUAUUAUUUUUUAUGUUUUUGUGUUUAAUUUUAUGUAUAUUUUCUAAAUAUGAGUUAGNUAUUAAUUUUUUUUAAUAAAAAACUUGUUUGUUUUUUUUAUGUACGUGUCGGUAUAAAUUCAGAUAGAUCGAAACUUUGACCACUUUGAAUGUAUACCGACAAAUAAAUAAAAUAAACAUAUAAAAAAUUAGUUUUUUUAAGUUAACAAAUGCAAGUUUUUAUAUGUGACCCAACUCAUAAAUAAAAAACAUACAUAAAAUUUAGUAUAAAACGUAAAAAAAACAUUGAAACAUAAACCAACUCAAAUUUGAUACAACUUUUUGUAGUUAACAAACGAAAAUUAUUAUAUGUGAUUCGACUCAUAAGAAACAUACAUAAAACUAAACAGGAAAACUUAAAAAAAUUACGUUGAAACAUAGAUAAAAUUUGAAUUUAAGCCGACAUGUACAUAAAAAUUUACAAAAAAAUUAACGGCAGUUUUAAAUUCAUGUCGAAAUAUUGACCACCUUCAAAUUUAUGUGGAGACANCUAUGGUUUACGCAUGGUCAGAGUAUUGUUACAUGAAAAGAUCAAAUCACUCUUACACUGACGGACGGAAACUUAUGGUGUUAGCACUAACGUAAGUUUUGAAAACCAUAUAAACCUCGUUCCUCAAAAAAAAAAUUAAUAAAGAAUUGAGUGACUUUUAAAAAAACCUCGAUGUAAUUUUGUCAAGUAUUUUACAAUGAGUGAUACCGAAAAUUGAAGUUUGUAGUUUGAUAAUUUGAAAUUUGGUGAUUAACUAAACUGAAUAUUUUUUAGUAGUUGGAUAUCUAAAUAACACAAACAAGAGAAUUCAUACUACAUAGAAAAAAACAAAGUCGAGGCUUUAACUGUUAGUUUACACUAAAAUUAAACUGUUUUACUUAUUUCUAAUGAAGAAAUGAUUCAGAUUUAAUUCUUUUCUUCAUCUUUCUUAUGAAUUCUGCACAUCUCCUGUUCAAUUCCUCUAUUUCAUGUUCAUCAACAACAAAAUGAAUCUCUGCCUUUUGAUCUUCAAUUUGAUACUGAGUGGCAGAAACAACAUAAUCAUCUUCAACUACGCAAACAUGAGAACCAAUAUGAAUGCUUUCAUCAUCUUCUUCGAUUUUUUCUUCUUCUUCUUGUUCUUGUUUUUGUUCUUGUUCUUGUUCUUCCAUGGCUGAUGAGAUUAGCAGAUGUGGGAGGUUGGUUUCAUUUGUGAUUACUGUAUGAUUUUGUUUUGGUGAAGAGCUGUUGGUCGAACCGAAGUUCAUUAUGAGGAAAACCAGGAUUCCAUUGCAGAGGAGGAAGAUGUAAUGUCUGUCGAAAGAGGAGAAAUGGUGAGUGUAAGAACUGAGAGACACAGUGGAUGAGAAGAAGAAGAUGAUGAAGAUGAAAAUGGAGAACAUGUUGUUGAGCUUAAUGAAAUUGGUUUUUGGUGUUUGUUUGUUGAUGUGAUUCGACAUUUCCUCCAUUGUUACAGAGACGAUGGAGGUGAUGCGAUGAAGACGAUGAUGAUGUCUACGAUAUGAUGCACAUAUAAAUAAGUUCAAGAAAUGAGCGAAUUUACAAAAUUAACCUUGGAUUUUGGAAUAAAAUUUACCAAACCAUUUUCUAGAUAAUGAUGGCUUACCCACCUAUUCACACUCUGAUCUACUACCAGAUAUAAGAUAUUUGUUUGAGGUUUAUAUUAUCACAUAAUAACUUAUUUGGUAAAUUAUUAAAGACAAAAUUGCAAAAAUGGUCCUGUGGUAUGCAAAUUUUUGGGGUUUUAAUCCAAACAGUGACUUUUUUGGUUUCGUAGUAGUCCGUGAUUUGUAUGUGAAAAUGGUCCCUCCGAAAAUUGAAAUGACUAUAAUACUUUUGGGGUAUUUAUUUUUCAUUUUUCUUUCAUUAUUCUUAAAAUUUAAUAUUUAUUUAUUUAUUUUAGCAAUUAAAAAAAUGAAAAAGGUCCCAUCUCUCUCUCUCUCUCUCUCUCUCUCUCUCUCUCUCUCUCNAUAUAUAUAUCUCUCUCUCUCUCUCUCUCUCUCUCUCUCUCUCUCUCUCUCUCUCUCUCUCUCUCUCUCUCUCUCUCUCUCAAGAAAACCUGUUGAAUUCUUUUCCUCCUGCUCCACUGUGGUUUACUCAAAAAGCAUUUGUCUUUGUCUCUUUCUUUUGAACCCAUCCACCACAACUCCACCUUAUAUCUCCGCCAUUAAAAUCCGUCAAGCAAGCUUCAAAACACCACCAUCUACUGUCUUCCUCCAGUUUUGGGAGCUUGCCACCAAAACCCAUCAAGAACCGUCGCUGCCUCCAUCAAUAACCACCACCGGUGACUUUGAUCACCGUGAAUCACCACCAAACAACAUCAAACCUCAUCCCAUCUCCUACUACCUCCCUUUCAACGACCUGCUGCCCAGAAAACGAAAAAGAUAGCGAGGCAACCAAGGCCUGCCACGCACGACCAUCCACCACUACUUCUUCCCUCCGUCGUACCCAUCUCAGUUUGCCUCCAUCCUCAUCGAUCUCGUAAGAACAGGAAGUGGAAGCAGCGAAGCUGCCAUCACCGGCCACGGUCGCUGCUACUGUAGAUCUCCGACACCACCAUAUCCUUAUACGAUCUAGGUGGGUAAACUGGGAACUCACCGAAUCUGCAACAUGAACAAGUCUUGAAUUCUGAUCGUGGUGUUGGUAGUUGAUUUUGGUGACUGGAAGGAGAGAUGGUGGUGAGGAGUUAGGGUUUGAAAAAGAUGAUGGUGGUGAGGAGUUGUGCCAGUCGACAUACACAUCAGGUUCAAGAAGGGUUCGAAUUUGUUUACAUAAACAUGCCCCUGUUCUUAAUUUAACUUUCUUACAUCUUAACCUGAUGCAAAUUGUAUACUCCUGCCUCGUAUGUCCUUGAACACAAAUUUGAUGUUGUGAGUUGUUAUUGGAAACUGAUUUCAUCCGGGUUUAUUUAUAUGAUCAAGUUCUCGAUCUGGGCAAUUGUUCUUGGAAAUUGAAUUCAUCUGGUUUUUUUUUCUGGGUUUGAUAUUUCGGUCUAGAGUUUAGCAAUUUAGAUUAUUUUAGUUUUUUAUGAUGGAUUUGAUGUACCAGGUUGCAGUUAAAGCUUAAAUUCAUCUUGGUUUGUUAUCUGGUCGAUUUCUAGGUGGUUUGGGUUCAUCCAGGUUUUUAGUUUCUUUUCGGUUUAUAAUCAUGAAUUCAGAGGUCUGUGAUAGCAUUUGAAAUAAAGUGAAAACAAAUUCAUCUGGUUUUUUCAUCAGAUUAAUCAUUUAUUAUGUGUGUUUAUUGAAGCUGUGAAUCAUUUAAGUUUUUAUGAUCAAGAAAAAAUUGAACUCAUUCGAGGGUUUUUAGUUCCUGUAGUUAGCCACUUGAAUGUUGUGGAAGAAGAAGAAGAAGAAGAAGAAGAAGAAGAAGAGAGAGAGAUAGAGAGAGAGAGAGAUAUGUGGGCCCAAAUUAAUUAAUUAUUUUCUUUUCAUUUAAAUUAAAUAGAAAAAACAUAAAAAAAUAUAUAUCAUAAGGACAUUACAGUCAUUUCAAUUUUAGGAGGAACCAAACUUACGUACAAAUGUGGCCAAAAGGACCACGAAACCAAAAAAGUCGGGGUUUGGACUAAAACCCAAAAAAAAAUGCAUACCACAGGGACCAAUUUUGCAAUUUUGUCAUUAUUAAAGGUUUCUUUAUCCAUAAAUUAUAAUACAUGCUUAGAAAAUAUUUCUUUAUAUACUAUAUAUAAUUAAUAUGUUACAAGAUGAAUUGAAUACUAUUUUUAAUAGUAUUAAAUAAUGGUAGAAAUAUACAUUCCAAUCGUUUUUUUUAACAGCAAAAAGGGUGCAACAGUAGAACUUCCCAUAAAAAAAUAAAAAAAUAAAAAAAUAAUAAAAAAAAAAUAGUAAACUUAAAUACAAAAGUAAACUUAAAUACAAAAUUUUAAUGUAAAAACAUUGCCAUGUUUUUACACAUUAUGCAACAUGAUUGGCCAUUUAUGGUUACACAUAAUGAUAAGAAAUAACGAACGAGUUACGUUUUGGGGUAAAAUAUAAUGCAUAAAUUGAGGAUAACAAUAAUAUUUUUAUUAAAUCAUAGAUUAGACUAAUUUUAGUUUUGUGUACGACCCGGAAUAACUUUAAAUUCUUUUAAGCUUUCUUUAAAUGAGUAGUUGAUAACAUGGUGAAUUUUAUGUGUAUAUAAAUAUUAAUCGAUUAUUACUUAAACUUUUUAUAUAAUAAACACAUUAGAUGUGACAUUAUUUUGUUGUUUUGGUUCAAACGUCCCAAAAAUGUUUGUAAAUGUCAAAGUCUUCUUAGAGUCAAUAAUAUAAAAUACAGAUUAGUAGUCUCGCAGACACGAUGGACCCAACAGGAGUUGGAAAAACGGUAUUUGUCGUUGGAGGCAAUUCACAGGAGCCUUAGCUUUUGAAAGCCCAACAAAACCAUCAUGUUCUAGAAUCUAAGGUGAACUUCACAAAUAACUUAUUUUUAGUUGUGCUGGAUUGAAAAACUAAUAUUUAAAUAUGUUUUAAAUUCAUCAUAUAUAGAAAGAAUUUGUGGUAAUCACAUAAAUGGCAACAUUUUUUUUUUUGAGAUAUAAGAUAAUAAUCUAGAUUUUGUCCAUCCAUAGAAAUGAUGUGGCAAUGCGAAAUGAACUUGGACCCGGGUCUCAUGGACAUCUGUUCGGCUCGUAGUUAAGUAAAAUUUAGAAUAUGAUAUCCACUACAUCUCGAUAACUGAUUUUGGAUUACGUAUUUAUCUAAAACACUUUGAAGCAAACUACUAUGAUCUAUAACUUGAGACAAGUUAGAUUCGCAUUAAGUUUUAUAUAGUUAAAAAUGCAAUAACCGUAUCUAAAAUUAAAACCCUAGUCCAAAAUGCAGAGUUGUCGAAUAUGUAUUCGUUUUGGGGUUGAAAUAUGUUUUUUACGUACUUUAUAGUAGUUAGCUUAAGUUUACUGUUUGUUAUGUGUUGCUCAUUAUUAUUUUUCUAGUCAAGUACUAUGAAUUGCAAUGUCCAUACAUCGAAACAUGAAGAGACAGUCUAAAAUCCGAAGAACUACUCAGAUACCUGAUGUUGUACUCGUUUUGAAUGAAAGCUAUGAUGCACGAGAAGAUUUAUAACCGAAGUUCCUUGAGGUAUCAUCCAGACAUGAUCUUCACUCACAACAAUCAUACUGAAUAGUUGCCAUGUUUACAACCACAAAUCGUUGUGGUCUAAAAAAGCAUGGUUAAUCCAAGAUCAAUUCAACACAUAAUCCUUUUUUUUUCUCGGGCCAAUCUUGACUCUAUUUCUUUGUUUGCUUAACACACGAUCAUUCAUAUGUAGAGAAUUAGGUUUCAUUUUGUUUGGUUGAAGAAGAUGAGAAUUUGACCCUAUCGGUAAAAUUUGGACAAAUCCAAUACCAUAUACGAUUUUGAACUCAAAUUCGUGAUAGGACUUCAGUGUAUCAUGUUCUUUCAUAUGCCUUAAUUAUAAAAUGAGCAAUUAGAUGAUCAUAACAAAGCUCUGAUAGCCUUUUGAUUGUGACUUUGUAGUUAUUAUCGUGUGGAUCUUGCUACGAGGUCUAAGAUUGAGUUAUUAUGACAAAAAAUGAAAUCAAACUCUAUCAAGUUCUUUUAAAUCUGAUAAAUGGGUGAUAAUUGCAAAACUUUGUUUACCCUUAGAAGACAUGAACUCUCUCUAUUUCAAAGUUUUUGAGUUUUAGAAAGUUGGGUUUUAUAAGCUAUUCCAGUGAAGUAUGGGUCGAAAAUUUCAGUGUCAUCAAUUGUUCUUGUCUUUAGUUUUUGAGGCUAGGGUGGCAAGGUUCCUUUCGGUUUUUGAAGAAUUGAAGAUAUGACUUUUUUGGGGAUAAAAAUAGGGCCAAUUUGUCAAGUUUAAUCCGGUUAUCUUGGUGCUCUUCUCCUUUCAUGGCUCUUUAUUUGUAUUUGUACUUAUUUUCUAGCACUUUGUUAGCUCGUUUUUAAUACAUUCCAUCAUUCUAAGAAACUAAAAAGGAGAAAAAAAAACAAUGUUGGACAUUCCAGAGCAUGGACUUCAAUUUCAAAGUUGAUCCAUUUUAUAUUCUUAACUUAAUAUAUUUAUAAAACUCUUUAUUUAAUAAACAGUUAUAGAAAUAAUUUCCACUCCCAUAAUUAGAAAUGUUUUGGUAAUGCAAUCGAUCCAGGAUACCUAGCACAAUAUCCUUCACUUAAAUAGACAUGACACACGUUACAAUUUAGCCAUGGUACACACACAUUACACGUUUUCUUGAAAACCAUAUCACAAUAUUGUUGACCUUUAAAACAUAUGAACUCUCUCGUUUUUGAAGUUGUGUAGUCUAUGAAAGCUAGGAUGAUAAGCAAAUCCAUUUAAGAAGUCAUCAAGCAUUCCCAUGUCUAUCAUUAUUUUCCUCCGAGAACAAUAAACAAUUAAUUUUUUCCCAAAAGUUCUCAUCAAAAAAGUUCCAUCUUUAAAACCCUCAAUUAGAAACACGAGUUCCAAAAACAACAUAUCAAUAUCAAUAUCAAGAUCAGGGUUGAUACUAUAUUUGAGCACAAGCUCUUUAUGCCAGGAGUUCUUGAUCCUGUAUUCUUUCAUCACCCAAACAGUCAAGUUAGAAUGGUAGGAAUCACAUCGAAUCAACGCAACCCUUUUGCACCUCUAAACUUUGUCCCAAAAUACAUUAAGCAGCAAAAAUACAAACUUAAUUGUAGCUCACAUGGUUAAGCCGCAGCGGACUUUGAUGUUGAUAAGGACACGCCUCAGUUCAAGUCUUGCAACCACCGAUUUUUCCUCAAAAAAAAAAUUUCGCUCAACUCCUAAAUUUUUUUCCCUCCAUUUUUUAUGCAUCGUAUUUUUUUGCGCUCCAUUUGUUCCCAUGUGUUGUAUGUUCUUGCUAUGUCUCGUACUCGUAAGCAAGCGGGAAAAUACCCUUAAAGUCUCUUAAAUCUCCCAGUUCUCCUCCCAACUCCCAAUGUACUUCUCAUCAGUUCUCAAGAAGAAGUUUAAUCGGCUUUAUAAGGAGAAUACAACCUCUCGAUAUUUCUUUCUGAUUUUUAAGUUUGAAUGCGCUUCUAAUUUCUGAUUUCUGAAAUGUAUUAUGGAUAUGAACCUAAAGGUAUAUUGCUUUUUCUUUCUCAUUUGUUUUUUUUUAUCGAUUUCUAUAGAUUUAGGUUUUGAUUUUUAAUUUUUGAGUUUGAGGGCACCUUUAUUUUCUAAUUUCUAAAAUAGAUUAUGCAUAUCAACCUAUAGGUAAUGUAUUAGAAUUCCUUUCCUGAUUUUUAAGUUUGAGACUUAGACACAUAAACGUGCAACUUUGAAGGUCUUGGAUUCUGGACUCUGGAAGAUAAUCAAGAUGCAUUAUGCGACCCAAAAGAUCAUCCAAGGCCCAUAAACACAGAAUUGGGUGGUGUGUGUGACUUUGACUUAAUGAGUAUUGAUUUUUUUUUUUAGAUUUUUAUUAUGAGUAUUGAUUGUUUUUGUAUUUGAAUCUAUCAAAGAAAAAAAAAUGGUAAAUGAUAAACUUAUCUUUAAAAAAAAGUUGCAAUGAAUUAAAAAAUAAUUAACUCAUUUUUUGUAAUAUGAAUAUCUAUUUGAACCAUUAUAAAACGAUACACCUUUUUUUAAGUUAAUUUCCCAAGGAUAAUCGCAAAAUGACCAAAUGAUGUCUCGUUAAGUAAAUAAUCACAUUUUUAUCAUUUUAACAAAAUAUUCACUCAGUUCCGCAAUGAAGUCACUUGGGUAAGUAAUAUAUAAUUGCUUUAUGAAUAAUUUUCAACACAAAAAAUAUAAUAUUUAUCAAAUGAAAUGAAAUAAAAGAUUAUCAAGAUCUAAAUCAUCUGGUAAAUGGGUGAUAAUUACAUCAACUUUAUUGACCCUGAGAACACACGAACUCUCUCUAUUCUGAAGUUCUGGAGUUUAAGAAAGCUGGGUCGAUAAGCGAUUCCAGUGAAAUAUGGAUGAAAUAUUUCAGUAUCAACAAUUGUUCUUGUGAGAGGAGAAUAUUCCAGCAGUUUUUCUUCAUCAUACACCAUCAAAAUCGUUCCAUCGUUCAAACCCCAAAUCACAUAAACAGGUUCCCUCAUCAACCAAUCAAGAUCCGGGCUAAUGCUUCGCUUGAUAAUGACCUCUUUUUGCCAAGAUUUCUUGAUCCCAUAUUCCUUCAUCACCCAAAUCGUGAAUUGAGAAUCGAAGGUAUCCGAUUGACAUAAACAACCUUUAAGAACAGCCAAACUGUAGAAAUGGAUACGACUUUCUUCUACAAUUUCAACAGGAGGAGAUGGGAACAACUUGAACGUCUCCUUAUCAAAAUCAAAAGCACAAAGCUUUUCAGGCGAAUCCUGAUCAAUAACAAUCCAAUGAGCAUGUCCAUUUAAGAAUAUCCCAUUGAAGUUACUAAGCCAAUAAGGGAUAAUACUAAGAUUUCUCCAUUGGCCUGUGCCAAUGGUGUAAAUCUCACCUUCUAGUAGAAUCGGAGGAGAUGAUGAAUUAGGGUUUGUGGGUAUAUCUCCUUGAAAGAUCCGUAUCACUUUAUAUUCCCUUGUUAUUGACCCGACUCCGAAACAACACAUAACUAUUGCAAAAUAUUCUCUAUGGUAUUGUUGAUUUGGGAGGAUCAUGUAUUCUCUGGUGAUUGGAUUGCAUAUGUAAGUGUUUUCAUUUUCAGAACCAAAUUGCCAUAGACAGAGCAAACCAUCGACUGAGCCUACGGGGUGUAUUUGAGAUUCUUGGAAAAUGGGUGCGAGAUUAAGGUCGAGGCUCAUGACUGGGUCAUGGUGUAAAUUGUGGUGAUGGAGUUCGUCUUCAACCUCUAGCCACUUCAAAAUACCUGUUCUAUAGUAAAUGGCCAUUUCCUUUUCAGGAUUAUGAUGAAUCAUGAGGCUUGAAGGUGACCUCUGGAGAUGAAGAUUGGAAAAGUAAGAGUCUGAAACGAGAUCCAGCCACUUCUUGCAUACACAUUUGCAAUGGAUGAUCGUUUUGACUGGAAGUCUUGAGAGAAUAUCAGCCGUGAUAUACACCGGUAAGUCUUCCAUCGAUGGAUCCAGAAGAGACAUUUUUUCUGGUAAUAAAAGCUGGAUUUUGGUGGUGAUGGUGGUGGUGAUGGUGGUGGCGAGUGGUGACAGCAGAAGAAAGAGAAUAGUUGACUUUGGAUUGAUGAUUGUGAGAUUGUCAAUAUGUAUAUAUGUUUAUGGGGUGUGUUGUUUUAUAAUGGAGAAACUUUGUAAAGGUUCUUUACUUGGAAGAUACGUAUAGUUGACUUUAAAAGAAAGAUAAUUGUUAUACGAAGUAGAUAAUAUUUUGUGAAAUUGUGUGUUAUUUCAUAAAAAAAAUAUUUCACAUUUUAAUCAAUCAUGAAAUAGAUGGUUAUGAUUGUUUUUUUCUAUCAGGAAAAAAAAGUGGUAAAUUUAUUAAAAGGGUUAAGCCAUUUUUUUAGCCGCUUUGUGACAUCAGUUACUUAUGACAAAAAAUCACAAAUGGUUCUUAUGGUUUAAAAUGUUUAAAAUAGUCUUUAUGAAACUUUUUUUUUUAAUGUGAAUAGAUCAUUUUAUUAGUCUUUAUGACUUAACACUAUCAGUUUUAUGACCCUUACAACACAUGAACUCUCUCUGAUUUGAAGUUCUGAAGUUUAAGAAAGCUUGGACGAUAAGCCAUUCCAGUGAAAUACCGAUCAAAAAUUUCCGUGUCAUCAAUUGUUUUCCUCUUAGGACAAUACGCCAACAAUUUAUCUUGAUAAUACACCAUCAAAAUAGUUCCAUCAUUUAAACCCUCAAUCAGGUAAACGGGUUCCCACAUCAACCAAUCUAGAUCACGGCUAACACUUUGCUUGAUAAUCACCUCUCUACACCAAGAUUUCUUGACCCCAUAUUCCUUCAUCACCCAAAUCGUGAAUUGAGAAUCAAAAGUAUCAGAUUGGCAUAAACAACCUUUAAGAACCCCCAAACUGUAAAAAUGAAUUUGACUUUCUUCAACAAUUUCAACAGGAGGAGAUGGAAACAACUCAAACGUCUCCUUUUCAAAAUCAAAAGCACAAAGCUUUUCAGGGGAAUCGUCGUCAACAACAAUCCAAUGAGCAAAGCCGUUUAGAAAUGGCCCAGAGAAUCCAUUAAGCCAGUAAGCGACAUGACCUAGACUUCUCCAUUUUCCUGUGCCAAGGGUGUAAAUCUCAGCUUCUAAUAGACUCGGGCGAGAUGAUGAGGUUGGAUUAAUUGGGGGUAUAUCCCCUUGGAAGAUCCGUAUUACUUUGUAUUCAUGUGUAAGUGAAGCAACACCAAAACAAUAAACAAUUAUUGCAUAACCUUCUCUAUAGUAUUGUUGUCUAGGGAGGAUCAUAUACUCUCUUGUGAUUGGAUUGCAUAUGUAAGUGUUAUCUUUUCGUUGACCAAACUGCCAGAGACAGAGCAAACCGUUGACUGAGCCCACGGGGAGUAUUUGAGAGCGUUGGAAAAUGGGUGCAAGAUUAAGGUCAAGUCUCAUGACAGGGUCAUGGUGUAAACGAUGGUGAUCGAGUUCACCUUCAACCUCCACCCACUUCAAAAUGCCUGGUUUAUGGUAAUCGGUCAUUUCAUUUUCAGAAUUAUGAUGAAUCAUGAGGCUUGAAGGCGAUUUCUGGAGAUGAAGAUUGGCAAAGUAAGAGUCAGAAAUGAGAUCCAGCCACUUCUUGGAUACACACUUGCAGUGGAUUAUUGUUUUUACAGGAAGUCUUGAGAGAAUAUGGACCAUGACUUCCACCGGUAAGUUUUCCAUGAAUGGACUGAAAAUAAAUAUAAUUUUCUAGUAAUAAAAGGUAAAUUUUGAUGAUGGUUGGUGGUGAAGAAAGAUAACAAUUGAGUUUGGUUUGAUGGUUGUUAUCGAUAUGUAUAUAUAUAUCUUGUGGUUAAUUUUGGUUUCUUAUAAUGGGAAACUUGGAAAAGAUAUUUACUUGGAAGAUACGUAUAGUUGACUCUAAAAGGUGUUUCUUCAAAUAAGUCGUCAUCUUUGACUACAUCAAAAGAGGAACGACCAAAGCCCAAGAAAUAUAGAUCAGAAUAUCUUCGAUAUAUUUAGAUACUCAUUAUGAGCCCAAACAAUGUUUUAAAAAAACGGUUUUGAAUUGGCUGGUUGAACUGGUUGUAUCGGAAUCGAGGAAGGAGCGGUUCAAUUAUUACCGGUUUUAUAUUUAUUUUUGAACCGGAUCGAACCGGUCAGUUUUACAAAAAUCCAGUUGAACUAGUUCAAUUAAACCAGUUGAACCGGUUAAAUUGAAUAAGGGAACCGAAAUCUUUAGCAUAAUAAACUUUGAUAGUUUUUUCACAUUUAUUAAAUUUUUUCUAAAUAAAAAUACAUGAUAAAUGUUAUGAAGUUUUUUGAUGCGUUUAUAUUUAUCUAGGACUUUAUUUUCUUUUUAAUGCACGUGGAUUGAUGUAAAACUUAUGCUUAUGAGUUAUUUUAAUGUAUUUAGAUUGAUCUACAACUUGUUUCAUGUGUAUUUUAAUGUUUGAACUUGUAGACAUCAAAUUCUUGAUUUAUAUAUGUAUGUAUGUAUGUGUAUGAAAAUACAAAAAAAAAAGAUGAAAAUUAUAGAAACCGGUUUACUCAACGGUCAAACCGGUUGAACUGAAAACCAAUAACCAUACUGGUUCAACUAAAACACUGGUUUUUAAAACAUUAGACCCAAACCCAACAUGGCAUCCAAUGCCCAUAAAACAGUGUUGGGUCGUGUUUGUGACCGGAUGAAUUUAAUGUUAGAUUGUCGGGACUUUGUAUUGUGGAUUGUUUUUGUGAGAUUUUGAAUAUUUAAAAAUUAUUCACAGAAGGAUUUGUUAUCCAUAUUUGGUUGGUUGGAUUUGGAAAGGGAUUGAAAUACAUUACUUUAUAAAUUCUUAUUUGGUUUUUUGUUUUUUUCACCUAGGGCCUCUGAAAGCAUCAAGGUUGAUUGAAAUGUGUCGCGGGUUAAGUCCUUUUUAAGACGAGAUAUGCAAAUUUAGUAUUAGGAUAGUUACUUUAUGAGUUGGCUUUAAAAAAAAUCAUGUGUGUUUUGUAAAUGCACUAAAGAAUUUGAAAUGUAAAUAUGGCAAAUGACAAACUUCUUUUAGUGUAUAAUUGUAUGAUUUUAUAAAGAAUCUGACUAUUCCUAUAACCACUUACAAAUUUAAGCAAAAAUGAACUACUGAACGAAAAUAUUCAUGAUUUUUGUUUGUAAAUGGUCAUCUGCGAAAUUCUUUAAAUGACACUAUUUAAAGGAUUUUCAAAGAUGGACGUCUUCAAAAAUCUUAGACAUCUAUGAAAAAAUUAGUCCCAAAACUAUAUUUGAAAAAAGUAUAUAUUCUGAAAAUGACCAUAUAUGAAAACCCAGGUUUUACCAUUAAAAAAGAAUGACCACACAACCUCUUUCGGCUUUCGCUUUGGAUAAUGUGGAGUCAAUCUUACACCCUUUACGUUUCAAUUACAAAUUUUAUAUUAGUAUUUGUUAUUAAUUCUAUAUAUAUUCAGGUGCACUAAAAAGUAAAAACCAUGUUUCCUUAAAGCGUACAUGCUAUAGUCAUAUGAUUGUAAUUGAAGCCUUUGAGUUAGGACUUGAAGAUGAAAUAGAUUACUUUUAGAAAAGCAUAGGAAAUCACUAAAUAAAAUUUAGAAGGCAAUAGUAAAAUACUACACUCAAAACAACUAUUUUUGAUACAAAAACGACGAUCAGUGUUCAUUGUUGACCUUUAAAACACAUCCACUCUCUCAUUCUCAAAGUUGUGUAGUCUAUGAAAACUAGGACGAUAAACCCAUGCAUUGAAUUUGAAGGAGCGAUCAAAUUUUACAAAGUCUACAAUUGUUUUCCUCUGAGGACAAUAAACAAAUAGCACACCACGAAAAGACCCCAUCAAAAUAACCCCAUCUUUAAAACCCUCAAUUACAUACACAGGUUCCACACACCACAAAGGAAGACCAGGGCUGAUACUUCUCUCAAUCACCACCUCUUUAUGCCAAGAUUUCUUAACCCCGUAUUCCUUCAUCACCCAAAUCGUCAAUUUAGAAUUGAAACUUUCACAUUGACAUAAGCAACCGUUUAUCACCCCCAAACUUCCACGCAUAGCUUCAGAAGAGGGAGGAGAUGGGAACAAAUCAAACGUCUCCUUGUCAAAAUCAAAAGCAUAAAUCUUCUCAGGAGAAUCCCUGUCAACAAGAAUCCAAUGAGCAUGGCCAUUCAAAAAUAGCCCAGAGGAUCCACUGAGCCAAUAUGGUACACAACCCAGACUUCUCCAUUGACCCGUUCCGAGGGUGUAAACCUCAGCUUCAAAUAGGCCCAUACGAGAUGAUGAUGUUGAAUAUGGAGGCAUACCCCUUUGGAAGAUCCGUAUUAAUUUGUAUUCAUGUGUAAGUAAACCGACACCAAAACAAUAAACAAUUAUGCAAUUACGUUGUCUAGGGAGGAUCAUAUAUUCUCUUGUGAUUGGAUUGCAUAUGUAAAUGUUAUGACGUUUAGGACAAACCUGCCAUAAGCAGAUCAAGCCGUUGACUGAGCCUGCUGGGAGUAUUUGAGAAUUUUGGAAAAUAGGUGAAAGAUUAAGAUCAAGGGUCAUGCGAGGGUCGUGGUGAUCAAGUUCGUCUUCAAGGUCCACCCAUGUUAAAGUGCCUGGUUUUUUAUAACCGUUCGUAUCAAAUCCUAAAUUAUGAUGAAUCACGAGGUUUGUAGGUGAUCUCGAGAGGUGAAGAUUGGCAAAGUAAGAGUCAGAAAUGAUAUCCAGCCAUUUCUUGCAUACACAUUUGGAGUGGAUGAUUGUCUUCACAGGAAGUCUUGAGAGAAUAUCGACCAUGACUUCCACUGGUAAGUCUCCCAUGGAUUGAUCUGGAAGUGACAUUCUGUUCAAGAUAUUCGUGGUUAAUAAAUAUAAAUCGCAAACAGAAAUGAAAUACCAAUUACCAAAGCAACAAAACCCUAUAAAGAAUAUGUCCCUAUUCCUAUCAGAAAAAUUCCUUGCAUUGCCAUUAAUAAAUUAAAUUAACACAAAUUACUACUAACAAAUCUGAAAUAUCAAAACCUAAGAAAAUUUUACUUCGAAAAAUAUAAUAAGUACAGAGUAAAGAUGGCAUUGAUUAUGAAUAAUUUUGUACCUAAAGGAGAGAUCCAAAAGCGAGACCCAACAGCAGCAGCAGCAGCAUCAGGGCGAUGGGCGCACCGGUGCGCUGAGGUCUUUUUUCUUGUUUCGGAUUCCAAGCGGCGGGAGAAACAGUCCUCGGAGGGUUUAUGCUUCUGUGUUGAAGAGAGGGGAGGGACUUGGGAGUUGUGACAAUGAACAGAGUGGGGUUGGCUACUUGUCUCGGUGUAUUAAAUAUAGAUUUUCUUUUUUUUGAAAAGGCAAGUGUAUUAAAUAUAUUAAAUAAUAUAGAAUGUAAAUUACAGAAAUAUACCGUUGGGUGUAUUUUACACUUGUCCAAUCUUUGAAAAAUUACUAAAGAAUAUUUUUAUGGGUUGAAAAAAUUACAUAGACUAACAUAUUAGUUGUUAGUUUUUUAUAAAUAUGAUCGUAUUGUCUUCGCCUCUUCGGUCUAAAAUAGUAAAAAGACUAUAGAGAUCAACUCACUAAAAACUCCAAUUAGAGGGAUAUUCGAUUUUUCAUAUUUAAAUUCCCAUAGUCAUUUUGGAAAUUCUGGAUGGCUUGGAUAUACGAAAGUAACGUCUCAAAUUUUAGACAAAAUUUUUCAUUUUUAAUUUAUCAAAAUCAGAGUUUCACAACCACGUUAUCGAUUACAUAAUUAUCUCAAAACAGCUAGUAUCACAAAUAUCAGAGUUCAUAAACAUGUCCUGGUAGUAAAUCUCCCAGCAUGUGUGUACAAUCAGAUAUUCGUCUUCAUAUGGUCCUCGGAAGUACUUGUCACAUAUAAAUCAACAAUUGUAAGCACGAAACUUAGUGAGUUCUCCGAGAUACCACAUACAACACAACAUAAAUAAACAACUAUGGGUUAUCAGCAACCCCAAUGAGCCAACAACACGCCCUGUAGGUUAGCAGCAACCCUGGUUGGCUAUCAGCAACCUCAGUCACAUAUAAAUAACAUUGCAUAACCAUAACAGCUAGACCCAGUUGGUCAUCAUAAAUACAACUAUUCUACCACACGGGUAAGAAUAAGUGAGGAGACUCGCCUGAUACUGACAACACGUAAAUCUAGCACCUAAACUGCCGGAUCUAAACUCCACAUAGUCAACAAAAUAACUAACCCUAAUUAAUAAUUAAGGUCCAAAACUCACUUGCGAGUCCAAAUUAUAACAGCCCAAAAUUUUUAACAAAUUUAAACCUUUCAAAAGUGACCCAUUUCUUUAUAAAAAUGUUUACAAACAAUCAUUUCAAAAACAUUUUGUUUCCCAAGAUCUAAUUAGUUGUAAAACCAAGGAUGUGUACGAUUACGCCUUCGUUUGCCACUGUCCACCGAAGUACCUGAAACCAUAAACCAAAAUUGUAAUCACAAAGCUUAGUGAGUUCCCCCAAAAUACCAACACAAAUACAAUAACAGCAUAUUAUGGGUCCAAUCAACAAUUCAGGUUAGAAUACCCCAGGCCAUCAACCUUCGGGUUUGAAUGCCAAUGCAACACCUGUUCCAUGUAUUAUUUAUUUUAUUUAAUUUUCUUAGGGUUUUGUGCAUGGACUCGACGAGUUGGAGAGCUCCAACCCGUCAAGUAGAGACUAUUAGGAGGACGCGAGAUUUAAAUCCUACUCGACGAGUCGAAAGGCCCCGACUCGAGGAGUAGACUUGGUAGAGAGAAACCUUAAUUUUUAGGGGUUUGUACCCUAUUUAAAGGAUUUAUGGCUCAUUUGUAGCCUCCCUCAUUGUAUUUAAAGCCCAAAAAGAAACCCUAGUCGCAUAUUUGAGCUUCCUUGAGUGUAUGUGAGUCUUAGAGAGUAAAACUUGUGCUUUUGAGGAGGAAACUUGAAGGUUGAGGAGCUUGAAGAGAGGAGAAGGCUUGGGAUUCGGCAUCUACUGGUUGUGAGCAUCCAUUUAGAGGUAAAAAGUUACCACCUUGAUCUCUAUUUGCUUAGAUCUCAUUUCAUGGAAGGAUAUGGUCACUUUUGGGUGCAAAAUAGGGUCUCGGAUCUGGACUUAUCACAAGGAUAUGGUUCCAGAUCUGGACCUCUCUAGGUCCCCAAUGACAUAAAGUUGUUCACUUUAUCCAACUUAGGCCCUUUCCAUGCACUAAAACCUUGUAGGAAGCUUAGUUUUGAUGUUAUAGCCUUGGAGGACCUUGCAUGCAAGUAAAGUUUGCAACUUUAUGUGGUAUCUGCACUAGGGAGGUUGGAUCUGAAGUUUAGGACCUUAGAUCCUACUGAAAAGGGUUGAACAUAAAAGUGACUUAAGGAACUCGUCGAUUCCCUUAGUUGACUCAACGAGUCGGGUAGGGUUUGCCUGUUUUUGAGUUUCUGAUUGAGUGCAGUGAAGGAUUAGGGUUUUGGUCUGAAUGGACUUUAGGUUUUCUGGACAUUUGAUGAACUCGACGAGUCACUUAGGUGACUGAGUGAGUUGACUCAGGAUUCAGUGGAAUGAAUUCGGGAGGAACUCGACGAUUUGCUGGAUGCACUCGACAAGUUGAGGUCAACAUGGAUUGUUGACCUUGACCUUGACCAGGGUUGACUUAUAGGGUAUUUAUGGUAUUUUGGGAUUGUAACAAGUUCAUCACAUGUCGAUUAUAGGCGGUUGAGUUGGAGCAGUGUGUGGGAUAUAUCUGAUCUUAGCUUGUCAGUUCAACAUUCGAGAGGUGAGUCUCCUCACCAUACCAAUGGGUCCAAGGCACCAAGGCCGACCUAUUAUUUGUUAUGUGAUAUGCUAGUUGGUUAUGGAAUAUGUGAUAUGCUAGUGGUAUAUGUAGUAUGCUUGUAUGAAAGACCAUUGGGGAGCUCAUGGCACCUGGAUGUAAGACGAUGUAGAGAGCACAUGGCUUUCCUAAUAAAAGACCAUAGGAGAGCCCAUGACACUCGGAUGUCAAACCACGUGGAGAGCCCAUGGCUUUCCUAUUAAAGACCAUAGGAGAGCCCAUGGCACUUAGUUGUAAGACCAUGUGUGGAGCCCAUGGCAUCCUGGAGUAAGACCCUGGGGACGAGCCCACGACAUCCCUAUAUGUUUGUAUGCAUGGUUGUUGUGAUAUAUGUAGCUUUAUAGCUAAUAUGAUUGUGUGUUUAUGUGGAUUGUGUGGGGUAUGCUCUAGGGAACUCACUAAGCCUUAGCUUAUAGUUUGUUGAUUAGUUUCAGGUACAUCUGAGCCUAAGGGCAAGGGCAAAGCUUGAUGGCGCGACAUGCACUCUCCGACAUUUGUUUUGAUGGGACACUAUGAUGUUUUGAAUAAAAUGUUAAUGUUAUGAUUUUUUGAAAACAGUGGUUAAUGUUACUUCACAUUUUAUGGGAGUGAUUGGCUAAUUAAAAAUGAAAAAAUUAUUUGAAAAAUUUGGGUCAUUACAAGUUGGUAUCAGAGCCAUGGUUUGAGGGAUUCAGGCACACCCUCGGGUGUGUCGGGACUCAAACUAAGGCAAUGGUAAAAUUGUUUUCAAAAAUAAAAAAUAAAAUUUAAAACUUUUAGAAAUUGGAAAAGAGGAGAGUGCAACGCGCAUGAUCGACUGAGCCAAGUAAGUAGUUCCCCAAUAUGUUUGCCAUGUUAUACUGAUGCUUGAGCUAUGAUAAUCGUAUGGAUCUUGCUAUAUGUAUGCUUUUAAAGUUGUAUACGGUUAGGAGCUUAUAGCCUUAGAAUGAUUGAUUUGGCCUUAUUUCCUGUUCCUUGUCUGGUUGUGGUCCUAGGGUAGAAUCUAUUAUUCGAAAGUCUAUUUGAUCCUUUUCUUUGUAUAAUUUGCAUUCAUAAGGCAACCUGUUAUGAUUUGUAUGAUUGAUGUGAGUAGAGCAAAUCUUAGGGUCGCCUAGGGUUUGAGAUAUGCGGUAGUCAGCGGAAGAUGAUGUAUUUUGGAACGAAAUGGAGUUAUCAGGUAGAGCCUUGGGGAAGGUAUAGGUAGGUGUGGAAGGUAGUAUUCGGUUCGUACUACUGAAAGCACAGACCUAUACCCGAACCAAUGUUAGACCUGGAAGCUCUAAGGAGGACCGGUGUGGGAGGAUCCCCUCUAUAGACAUCCUGAUCAUUAUGUUUUAUGGUAUUGCAGUAUAGUAUGGUGAUGACACGACAUGGAGCUGGGGGAUCAGGAUUAGGAUCUGGAUCUGGGUCGGGCGAUGGUACCGAGCCCAUCGGCGAGAGGUUGCGUGAGCUCAUCGCAGCUGAGGUUAUGAGGGGCAUCCUUGAAGCUACCCCAGUUAUCUUUGGGACGCUCAAGGAGGGUAUGAUGGAGAUUAUGGAGGAGAGGCUCAGGGCAUUCAGAGUCGAGAAUACUACAGGCCAGGUUGGGGCACGAACUCCCUCAUUCCAGGAGUUCAAGGUGUGUGGGGUGCUGGAGUUUUUUGGGGUCAGGGACCCCAUUGUUAGCUGAUGUUGGGUGGCGAACAUAGAAAACGCCCAUCGCACGAGUUCAUGCCCUGAUGCGGUGAAGGUGGGGUUUGCUUCAUGUAUACUGAGAGACAGAGCCCGAGACUGGUGGGGAGAGGUUACUAGCCAUGUGGGAGCAGCCGGUGUGGCUGAGAUGACAUGGGCCGAGUUUGUUAGGCGGUUCGACUUUGAGGUGCAACGACUUGUGAGGGAGUUUCAUGACCUUCAGCAGACCACAGAGACUGUGGCGGAGAUCACUGCCAUGUUUUGAGAAUGAGCAUUGUUGAUCCCACAGUAUGCUACAGACGGAGAUAUAAGGUGGACGAGGUAUCAUUCCAUCCCGAGGGAUGAUAUCCAAGAGUUUGUGAGCUUUACAAGGUGCAAAACCCUGAAUGAGAUGGUGGAGAAGGCCCGUGAGCGGGAAAUGGAGUUGGACUUCCGCACCAAGCGAAAGCCGGAGCAGGCACAGACAGUAGUAAGUCAGCCUAAAAAGCCUAAGACCUCAUAUUCUUCUAGUAGAGGCCAGCAUGGUCGUGGCCAGUGUGCCAACUGCAGCAAACCGCACAUUGGGCUUGUCGGGCGGCAGGCUCGGGAUACUACGCAUGCGGCCAGUUGGGCCACGUGAUCAGAGAUUUUCCCCAAGAAGGGCUUGAUUUGUUUCCACUGCAACCAGGCUGGCCAUAAAAAGGCUGAUUGUCCGAGGUUGCAGGGAGGGGGAGGAGCAGUGGCGGGNNNNNNNNNNNNNNNNNNNNNNNNNCCCGCCACAAUGAGGAUUAAUGAUGGCCGCCCUACUAAGGCGGAUGCUCCAGCGGUGAAGAGCCGUAAAUUUCAGUUGACUACCGAGGAGGCUUGGGCAGCGCCAGAUGUUGUGGCUGGUACAUAUUCUAUUCUCAUGCUCUAUAUUUAUUUGCAUUUCUUACGUGUGUAUUGUCCUUAUGUAUAUGGACCUUUUUGGUCAACGGUAUGUCAGCUCACGUUCUAUUCGACUCGGGGGCUACCCGGUCGUUUAUAUCUCUUGCACUUAGCAAGAAGUUCCAGAUGCGACAUGGACUUUGGGUUCCCUGCUUAAGGUUGAGAUUGCAGACGACCGCACUAUGAGUGCUGCAAGGGUGUACCGGGACUGUGUCCUGAAUGUGCUUGGAGAUAGGUUUUGUGUUGAUCUAGUUCUGAUACCAUUGCGAGGGUUGAAGGUGAUUAUCGAGAUGGACUGGUUGGGGGCCAACAGAGCCAUGAUCGAUUGCGAGCCCCAGUUGGUGAGGGUUCGAACCCCAAGUGGGGGAGAACUGAUCAUUCAUGGUGAGAGGGCCUCACAGGGGCCAACCAUUUGUUCAGUUGCGAGAGCUAGGAGAUUUCUGCAGCAGGGUUGUACGAGAUUUUUGGCAUAUAUCUCGGAUACGAGGGUUGAGCCCACAACGGAUGUGGGCAGUGUGCCGGUUGUAUAGGAGUUUCAGGAUGUCUUUCCCAAGGCGUUACCGAGAAAGCCUCUGGAGAGGCAAGUGGAGUUUCACAUUGAUUUAGUGUCGGGUGCCGCUCCUAUAGCGAAGGCAUCGUACCGGCUAGCACCGCCCGAGAUGCAGGAGCUAUCUAUGAAGCUUCAGGAGCUGCUAGACCGAGGGUUUAUCCGUCCGAGCAGUUCCCCGUGGGGAGAUCCGAUCCUGUUUGUGAAAAAGAAGGAUGGAUCACACAGGACGUGCAUUGAUUAUCGAGAGCUGAACAAGCUAACGGUGAAAAACUAUUACCCGUUACCGAGGAUCGAUGAUUUGUUCGAGUAGCUACAGGGUGCGUCUUGGUUUUCCAAGAUUGAUCUUCGGUCAUAGUAUCAUCAGAUGAGGAUUCGAGAGGAGGAUAUAACGAAGACAACUUUCAGGACUCGGUAUGGGAACUAUGAGUUUGUGGUGAUGCCGUUUGGGCUCACCAAUGUCCCAGCAGCGGUCAUGGAUCUCAUGAACAUAGUGUGCAGACUGAUGCUGGAUCGGUUGGUAAUCGCUUUUAUUGAUGAUAUCCUGGUCUAUUCUAAGACCAAGGAGCAGCAUGAGCAGCAUCUAAGAGACGUAUUGGAGACACUGAGGGCGGAGAAGCUUUAUGCAAAGUUCUCCAAGUGUGAUUUAUGGAUGCGAGAGGUACAGUUUUUUGGGUACAUCAUCAAUAAGGAGGGCGCACAUUUCGGUUGACCCAGCCAAGGUUGAGGCAGUGAUGCGGUGGGAAGUACCGAAUAAUGCAUCCGAGAUCCGUAGCUUCUUGGGUUUAGCGGGCUAUUACUGGAGAUUCAUCCGGGAUUUCUCCAAGAUCACCGUGCCGUUAACCCGCUUGACCAAGAAAAAUGUGACAUUUCGAUAGAGCACAGAUUAGCAGUUAGCUUUUGAGACCCUCAAACAGAGGUUAUGCGAGGCUCCGAUUCUAGUAGUACCUGAGGGGUUAGAUGAUUUGGUAGUAUACUGUGAUUCAUCGUUCUCAGGGUUAGGCGCAGUAUUGAUGCAAAGGGAACAUGUGAUAGCCUACGCAUGGAGGCAGUUGAAGCCUCAUGAGGCGGAUUACCCCACUCACGACCUGGAAUUGGGGGGAGUGGUUUUUUUCCCUCAAGAUUUGGAGGCAUUACUCGUAUGGAGUACGGUGCAUGAUUUAUACUAAUCACAAGAGUUUGAAGUAUUUAAUGGGUCAGGAGAACCUCAACAGGCGGCAGAGAAGGUGGUUGGAUGUGAUGAAAACUAUGAUUGUGAGAUCUUAUACCACCCAGGGAAGGCCAACGUGGUGGCCGAUGCUUUGAGCCGCAAGGCGACUGGUUCCCCGAUUGGUAACGUUUGUUUAAGGAUGACGGUGAUCUCUCCAUUAUUGUAUAUGAUCAAAGAGGCUCAUGUAGAGGGGGUUAAGAAAGAGAAUUGGAAGAUAGAGUGGAUUCGAGGUUAGUAUCCCUUUUUUGUUCGGGAGAGCCGAGGUCUUCGGACACAGUGCGGCCGGGUGUGGGUACCUGUGACUGGCCUUGCCCGGAUGAUACAAGAUCUCACAGUCAUAGUCUUUCACUACAUCCAACCACCUCCUUUGCCUCAUAUUCAAGUUAGGCUAAUCCAUAAGAUAUUUUAGGCUUUUAUGGUCAGUGUAGAUGGUACAUCGAACACCAUAGAGAUAGUGGUGCCAAAUCUUGAGAGCGAAAACCACUGCCCCGAGCUCUAAAUCGUAUGUGUGAUAAUUGUAACACCUAAAAUUUUAGACCAAAUUUUUAAUGUUUAAUUUAACAAAAUCAGAGUUUCACAACCAAGUUAUCAAUUACAUAAUUAUCUCAAAACAACCAGUAUAAAAAAUAUUAGAUUUCAUAAACAUGUCCCGGUAGUAAAUCUCCCAACACAUGUGUACAAUCAAACCUUCGCCAUCUCGUGGUCCUCGGAAGUACCUGCCGCAUAUAAAUGAACAAAUGUAAGCACGAAGCUUAAUGAGUUCCCCAGGAUACCACAUACAACAGAACAUAAAUAAACAACUAUGGGUUAUCAGCAACCCUGGGAAAUAUCAGCAGUCCCAAUGAGCUAACAACACGCCUUGUAGGUUAUCAGCAACCAUGGUUGGCUAUCAACAACCUCAAUCUUAUAUAAAUUGCAUCACAUAACCAUAAUAGCUAGACCCAAAUGUCAUCAUAAAUACAUCUAUUCUACCACAUAGGUAAGAAUAAGUGAGGAGACUUACCUGAUACUGACGACACGUAAAUCUAGCACCCGAACUGCCGGAUCUAGACACUGCCUAGUCAACAAAAUAACUAACCCUAAUAUAGCACCUGGUUCCUGGUAUGUGAAAUUUAUCUAAGUGUUUUGCAUUUUUAGCCUUGGACUCGGCGAGUUGUAGGCCCGAAUCGCCGAGUAAAGACGGGAUAUGGAACACGUUUAAGUUGGUGACUCGGCGAGUCCAUAUUCUGGACUCGGCGAGUCCCCGGUGUUUGAUGAAACCCUAAAUUCCAAGGGUUUGCACCCUAUUUAAACCAACCUUAUGCACCCCAACCUCACCCCCUUCACCCUCAGAGCUCCCUAUAUCGUCCAAACCUUGUUCCUUGUGAGAUUGAAGUGCUUUGGUGUGUUUUCUUGAAGAUUUUGAGAGAAAAGAAGAGUAGAUCAAGAAGAGAAGAAGGAGGCCAUACAUCUUGGUGUUAUCUCAGUGAUUCCCUUGAGGUAUAACUCAGUUUCCCUCUGUUUUCAUGCUUAUAGUCCCUUAUAGCUCCAUUAAAGUUCUUCUUGAUCCACUUCCAAGCUUGGGUAGGAUUUAGGGUCUGUAAUAAGUCGAUUAACCUUUAGAUCUAGGCAUGAUUGAGCUCCAGGAGCUUGGAUCCACUGCCUUUAUGAAGCCAUAUUGCAUGAAAGCCCUACAUCUACUCUUUUAGUGCAUUUUGAGCCCUAAAACUUUCAUUGGUGCUUAUUUACACGUAAAGUUGGAAACUUUACGUGUUAAUCAAGCCCUAGAAACCCAGAUCUAUGUAUGACAUGAGAUGGAUUCAAGCAAAAUCGAGUGUAUAGUAUUUGCAUGUGACUGACUCGGCGAGUCGAGUCGCGAGUCCCCGAGUUUUCCCCUUUUUCGUGUUUGUGGAGUGGAGUAGUGAGUCAUGGGGUGUGACUCAGUGAGUCGGAAGCCAGACUCACCCAUGAAGUAACUCGGUGAGUCAACGCCCUAACUCAACGAGUCCAAGGCAAUCUUCUUGCCUCAAGAACAGACUCGACGAGUUGUUCAUACAACUCGGCGAGUCUCAGCAUAGCAUGUUCUUCGGAUGAAGAUGAACUCGACGAGUUGUUCAUACAACUCGGCGAGUAGGAUGAAGGACUAUUGGACAUCGGUUAGAAGAAAACUCAUCGAGUCAACGCCACUCGAUGAGUAGAGACGGGAUUAUGGUCAAUCAAAUGAAUAGGGACUCGGCGAGUUAGCAAGCCAACUCGGCGAGUCGGGUUAACUGGAAGUUGACUUUGACCUUGACUCUUGGCUUGGUUAGGGAUAAAUGGUCAUUUUACCAUGAGGUCGAUUAACAGUAUUUGAUUGAGUGUUUUAUGUGAAUUAUAGCUGGAGGAUUUAUGGGGCAACAGCGGCAGAAGACAGUCAGUUCCCACGCAGAUCAGCAGCUACUUUGAGGUGAGUUACCUUCCAGUAGCGGUGGGUCUACGACCAUAAUGCCGGCCCACCAGUAGGAGUNNNNNNNNNNNNNNNNNNNGGGGGGAGAUAGUCCCCCAGAAUACCGGUCGAUAGGGCCUAAGGGUCGUUCAUGCCCAGUCAUGCUAGAUAGAUUAUGUGAUAUAUGUGUUAUGUGGUAGUAGUAGGGGUGAAAUAGUCCCCAGUAUUCGGUCGAGAGGACCGAAGGGGAGGCCAGCUCCCAGAUAUGCUAGCAUCCGGUCGAGAGGACCGAAGGGGAGACCAGCACCCAGAUAUGCUAGUCAGUAUCCGGUCAAGAGGACUGAAGGGGAGGCCAGCUCCCAGAUAGACUAGUCUGUAUCCGGUCGAGAGGACCGAAGGGGUAGGUCGGGCACCCAGAUAUGCCUGACAAUAUAUGUAUGUUAUUUGAUUGUAUGGUAUGUGGUAUGUUGGGGGAACUCACUAAGCUUCGUGCUUACAUUUUUCAGUUUUGGUUUUAGGUACCUCUUCUUCGAAGGGGAAGGAGUUGGCGCGGUAGCGGCACAUCACAUACAUGCUUUGUAUUCCGCACUAUGAGAUCUUCCUGGGGAUUUGUACUCUGACAUUGUUAUGUUUUAUAAAACGGUUUCCAGACACACAACAUCUUUUAUGAAAUGAUAUGAUCAGUGAAUGUUUUAUUUCUAAUGUUUUGCUAAGUGUAUGUUUUAAAAAUGAAAUUUUUGGCUCGUAUUUUUGGGACGUUACAAGUUGGUAUCAGAGCCCUGGUUUGAGGGAUUCGNNNNNNNNNNNNNNNNNNNNNNNNNNNNNNNNNNNNNNNNNNNNNNNNNNNNNNNNNNNNNNNNNNNNNNNNNNNNNNNNNNNNNNNNNNNNNNNNNNNNNNNNNNNNNNNNNNNNNNNNNNNNNNNNNNNNNNNNNNNNNNNNNNNNNNNNNNNNNNNNNNNNNNNNNNNNNNNNNNNNNNNNNNNNNNNNNNNNNNNNNNNNNNNNNNNNNNNNNNNNNNNNNNNNNNNNNNNNNNNNNNNNNNNNNNNNNNNNNNNNNNNNNNNNNNNNNNNNNNNNNNNNNNNNNNNNNNNNNNNNNNNNNNNNNNNNNNNNNNNNNNNNNNNNNNNNNNNNNNNNNNNNNNNNNNNNNNNNNNNNNNNNNNNNNNNNNNNNNNNNNNNNNNNNNNNNNNNNNNNNNNNNNNNNNNNNNNNNNNNNNNNNNNNNNNNNNNNNNNNNNNNNNNNNNNNNNNNNNNNNNNNNNNNNNNNNNNNNNNNNNNNNNNNNNNNNNNNNNNNNNNNNNNNNNNNNNNNNNNNNNNNNNNNNNNNNNNNNNNNNNNNNNNNNNNNNNNNNNNNNNNNNNNNNNNNNNNNNNNNNNNNNNNNNNNNNNNNNNNNNNNNNNNNNNNNNNNNNNNNNNNNNNNNNNNNNNNNNNNNNNNNNNNNNNNNNNNNNNNNNNNNNNNNNNNNNNNNNNNNNNNNNNNNNNNNNNNNNNNNNNNNNNNNNNNNNNNNNNNNNNNNNNNNNNNNNNNNNNNNNNNNNNNNNNNNNNNNNNNNNNNNNNNNNNNNNNNNNNNNNNNNNNNNNNNNNNNNNNNNNNNNNNNNNNNNNNNNNNNNNNNNNNNNNNNNNNNNNNNNNNNNNNNNNNNNNNNNNNNNNNNNNNNNNNNNNNNNNNNNNNNNNNNNNNNNNNNNNNNNNNNNNNNNNNNNNNNNNNNNNNNNNNNNNNNNNNNNNNNNNNNNNNNNNNNNNNNNNNNNNNNNNNNNNNNNNNNNNNNNNNNNNNNNNNNNNNNNNNNNNNNNNNNNNNNNNNNNNNNNNNNNNNNNNNNNNNNNNNNNNNNNNNNNNNNNNNNNNNNNNNNNNNNNNNNNNNNNNNNNNNNNNNNGUAGUGAAAGGGACCUGGUGGAGUCAAGGCAGUCCUUGGAGAAGGUACGGAUAGAUGUGGAAGGUAGUAUGGGCCCGUACUACUGAAAGCAGAGGAUCCGUACCCAAACCGAGGAAGGCCAAGAUAAGACCAGGGAGCUUGUAGUAGGUGUGAUCCCUCCAGAGGUAUCAGUAUCACUAACGAUUAUUAUUUAUGUAUUUCAGAAUGGUGGUACUACGCUCGAGGCCAGCAGUUGGCAGUACGGGAGAGGGAUCGGGUUCGGGAUCAGGUUCCGAGCUAGUAGAUGAGGGGCUACAUGAGUUCAUCGCGUCAGAGACCACCAGAGGCAUCCUUGAGUCGACCCCCAUUAUCUUUGGGUCGAUCAAGGAAGGGAUAGUGGAGUUGAUGGAGGAUCGCCUUAGGGCAUUCAGGAGCGACAUUGCAUCCGGCCAGUUGGGAUCUCGCACACUAUCCUUCAAGGACUUCCGGGGCAGUGGUGCGCCGGAUUUUCAUGGGGCGAAGGACCCCAUAGCUGCCAGGCGAUGGAUCGCAGACAUUGAGUCUACACAGUUGACUAGCUUCUGCCCUGAGGGGUUGAAGGUGAGAUAUGUAGCAGGAUGUUUGAGAGAUCGAGCUAGGGAUUGGUGGGAGUCCGUUGGUGACUCGUUGGGAGCCUCGGCUGUCGAGGCUAUGACCUGGUCGGACUUCGUGACUAGGUUCAGGGAAGAGUUUGCGUCGACUGUCGAGCUUCAGCAGCUGGCCAGGGAGUUCCUAGAUAUGAGACAGACGACGGAGACUGUGGCGGAGAUCACCGCCAAGUUCCGGGAGAGGAGGUUGCUGGUGCCCCAGUACGCGGGUGAUGAGGAUAUGAGGAGACCCGCUAUCAUGACAUGCUACGAGUUGAUAUUCGGGAGCAUGUCAGUUUUUCAGCUUGCCCUACCCUGGACUCUAUGAUUGCCAGGGCAAGGGAGAGGGAGAUAGAUCUGGAGCACAUCCGGAAGAGGAAGGCGGAAGAGGGGCAUGUUAUGGGGGCUUCAGGGAAGAAGCCCAAGGGACCAAAUGCGGGGCCGAAAGGCCAACAGGGGCGGGGCCACUGCCGGAAAUGCGGCAAGAUGCACAAGGGAGCGUGCAUGUUGGGAUAGUCAGGCUGCUACAAGUGCGGCAAGUUAGGGCACUUCAGCAGGGAUUGUACCGCCCCUGCACCUGUGAUACAGACAUCGGAGUUGCUGUGUUUCCACUGCAACCAGAGGGGCCACAAGAAGGCCAAUUGCCCCUAAUUGACAGCAUCAGCGCCGGUUAAGGCGCCAGCUCCAGCUACCCUGCAGAUUACAGAUGGCUGGCAGGUCAAGGCAGAGGCUCCAGUAGUGAGGAACCGGACGUUUCAGCUGACUAUCGAGGAGGCAUGCGCCGCACCCGAUGUGGUGACGGGUAUAAUUCUUUCCCUCUAUCUUAUUUUUAUGAUGUUAUUGUUGGAAUAGUGUCUAAGGCUAUAACUAUAUUCGGUGGUGCANNNNNNNNNNNNNNNNNNNNNNNNNNNNNNNNNNNNNNNNNNNNNNNNNNNNNNNNNNNNNNNNNNNNNNNNNNNNNNNNNNNNNNNNNNNNNNNNNNNNUGAGUCUUCGGGCAUGUUGGAUUGCCCUUUAGAGGCAGAGAUUGCCGAUGAUCGAUCGGUGCGAGCGUCAACAGUGUUCAGGGAUUGUGUUCUAAGGUUAUUUGUGGAGCGCUAUUUGGUGGAUUUGGUUCCCAUCCCAUUGCGGGGGAACAGGGUGAUUAUAGGCAUGGAUUGGCUGAGCCCUAAUGGGGCGGUGAUAGAUUGCGCACAACAGCUAGUGCGGAUCAGGACCCCAAGUGGGGGANNNNNNNNNNNNNNNNNNNNNNNNNNNNNNNNNNNNNNNNNNNNNNNNNNNNNNNNNNNNNNNNNNNNNNNNNNNNNNNNNNNNNNNNNNNNNNNNNNNNNNNNNNNNNNNNNNNNNNNNNNNNNNNNNNNNNNNNNNNNNNNNNNNNNNNNNNNNNNNNNNNNNNNNNNNNNNNNNNNNNNNNNNNNNNNNNNNNNNNNNNNNNNNNNNNNNNNNNNNNNNNNNNNNNNNNNNNNNNNNNNNNNNNNNNNNNNNNNNNNNNNNNNNNNNNNNNNNNNNNNNNNNNNNNNNNNNNNNNNNNNNNNNNNNNNNNNNNNNNNNNNNNNNNNNNNNNNNNNNNNNNNNNNNNNNNNNNNNNNNNNNNNNNNNNNNNNNNNNNNNNNNNNNNNNNNNNNNNNNNNNNNNNNNNNNNNNNNNNNNNNNNNNNNNNNNNNNNNNNNNNNNNNNNNNNNNNNNNNNNNNNNNNNNNNNNNNNNNNNNNNNNNNNNNNNNNNNNNNNNNNNNNNNNNNNNNNNNNNNNNNNNNNNNNNNNNNNNNNNNNNNNNNNNNNNNNNNNNNNNNNNNNNNNNNNNNNNNNNNNNNNNNNNNNNNNNNNNNNNNNNNNNNNNNNNNNNNNNNNNNNNNNNNNNNNNNNNNNNNNNNNNNNNNNNNNNNNNNNNNNNNNNNNNNNNNNNNNNNNNNNNNNNNNNNNNNNAUCUGAGAGAGGUUUUGGAGACCUUGAGGAGGGAGAGCUUGUACGCCAAGUUCUCCAAAUGUGAGUUUUGGUUGCGCGAGGUGCAGUUUCUUGGGCACCUCGUCAACCAGAACGGGAUUUCAGUAGACCCGGCCAAGGUGGAGGCCGUGAUGAGAUGGGAGGUUCCGAAGUCUCCAUCCGAGAUUCGGAGUUUCCUAGGAUUAGCCGGCUACUAUCGGAUAUUCAUUCAGGAUUUCUCCAAGAUAGUCGUACCCCUGACACGGUUGACUAGGAAAGCCGUGGUCUUUCGAUGAGGGCCUGAGCAGCAGGCAGCAUUCGAGAUUCUGAGGCGAAGAUUGUGCGAGGCGCCAAUCUUAGCCCUGCCUGAGGGCGUUGGGGAUUUUGUGGUAUACUGUGAUGCGUCUAUCUUAGGUUUACGCGCAGUAUUGAUGCAGAGGGGGCAUGUCAUUGCUUAUGCCCUGAGGCAGCUGAAGCCUCACGAGGCGAACUACUCGACGCAUGAUUUAAAGUUGGGGGCGGUGGUCUUCGCCCUCAAGAUUUGGCGGCAUUACCUCUACGGGGUUCAAUGUACCAUUUACACGGACCACAAGAGUUUGACGUACCUCAUGGAUCAGCCGAAUCCGAACAUGAGGUAGCAUCGGUGGUUGGACAUGGUGAAGGAUUAUGAUUGCGAGAUCCUUUAUCACCCAGGGAAGGCCAAUGUGGUGGCCGAUGCGCUUAGCCGUAAGGCGGCACCGAUCAGGGAUGUGUGUAUGAGGAUGACGGUGGUGACACCACUGUUAGAGCAGAUUCGGGAAGCUCAGCGGGAGGCUAUGAAGGAGGAACAUCGGAAAANNNNNNNNNNNNNNNNNNNNNNNNNNNNNNNNNNNNNNNNNNNNNNNNNNNNNNNNNNNNNNNNNNNNNNNGCGAAUAGUGAGUCAAGUCACCUCCUUCGAUUAUGAUAGCCGAGCAUUAUUGACACUACACCAUAGGGUGUGUGUGGCGUAUCACGGAGGCGUGCGCCAGAUCUUGAUGGAGGAGGUGCACAAAUCCCGAUUUUCUACUCAUCCAGGGGCGACGAAGAUGUCUAGGGAUCUUCGCCUAGACUAUUGGUGGCCCUGCAUGAAGCGGGAUGUGGCCUGGUACGUCGAGCGAUGUUUGACCUGCAGGAAGGUCAAGGCCGAGCAUCAGAGACCGCACGGCAAGAUGCAGCCGUUGGAUAUCCCGUUGUGGAAAUGGGAAGAUAUUACGAUGGAUUUUAUCACAAAGCUUCACCGGACUGCGCAAGGAGUAGAUUCGAUUUGGGUCAUCGUGGAUCGAUUGACGAAGAGCGCCCAUUUUGUUCCGAUCCAGGAGAGUAUCUCGGCCGAAAAGUUGGCCGAUGUCUAUAUCAGGGAGAUAGUGGCACGGCACGGGGUGCCAGUGUCAGUGAUAUCAGACCGAGAUGUGCGGUUCACUUCCAGGUUUUUGGAAGAAGAUUCAUGACGAGUUGGGCACUCGUCUGCAUUUUAGCACCGCCUUUCACCCGUAGACGGAUGGUCAGAGCGAGCGGACCAUCCAGAUGUUGGAGGAUAUGUUGCGGGCAUGCGUGCUAGACUUUGGUGGUAGUUGGGUUACCUAUCUUCCCUUGGCGGAGUUCUCGUACAACAACAACUACCAUGCGAGUAUUGACCGCCCUCCAUUCGAGAUGUUGUACGGACGGAGGUGUAGGACCCCGAUAUGUUGGGGUGAAGUUGGCCAGAGGGUCAUGGGGAGCACUGAGGUGGUGCUCAAGACGACCGAGAGAAUCCAACAGGUUCGAAGCAGGCAGCAGACUGCGCAGAGUCGGCAGAAAAGCUAUGCCGACAAACGCCGGUCAGACCUGGAGUUCGAGGUCGGGGAUAUGGUUCUCCUGAAGGUGUCGCCUUGGAAGGGCGUCAUUCGAUUUAGGAAGCGGGGCAAGUUGGGCCCGAGAUACACUGGUCCGUUCAGGGUUGUAGCCCGGGUGGGCAAGGUGGCAUAUAGGCUGGAUCUGCCAGCCGAGCUCAGUCAGAUCCACAACACCUUCCAUGUCUCCCAACUGCGGAAGUGCCUAGUGGAUGAUUCAGCGGUGGUGUCAUUAGAGGAUAUCCAGGUUGAUGACAGCCUGAAUUACAUUGAGCGCCCAGUCGCAAUCCUAGACCAGAAGUCGAAGGAUCUGAGGAACAAGAAGGUGGAAUUAGUGAAGGUGCAGUGGCAGCACCGAAAGGGUUCGGAGUGGACUUGGGAGCCGGUGGAAGAAAUGAUGGAGCAUUACCCCGAGCUGUUUCAGGAUCGAGCAACAGACUUCGAGGAAGAAGUCUAAAAUUAGUGGGGGAGAUUUGUAGCACUUGGUUCCUGGUAUGUGAAAUUUAUCUAAGUGUUUUGCAUUUUUAGCCUUGGACUCGGCGAGUUGUAGGCCCGACUCGCCGAGUAGAGACGAGAUAUGGAACACGUUUAAGUUGGCAACUCGGCGAGUCCCCGCUAUCUAAUGAAACCCUAAAUUCCAAGGGUUUGCUCCUUAUUUAAACCAACCUUAUGCACCCCAACCUUGCCCCCUUCACCCUCAGAGCUCCCUAUAUCGUCCAACCCUUGUUCCUUGUGAGAUUGAAGAGCUUUGGUGUGUUUUGUUGAAGAUUUUGAGAGAAAAGGAGAGUAGAUCAAGAAGAGAAGAAGGAGGCCAGACAUCUUGGUGUUAUUUCAGUGAUUUCCUUGAGGUAUAACUCAGUUUCCCUCUGUUUUCAUGCUUAUAGUCCCUUAUUAGCUCCAUUAAAGUCCUUAUUGAGCCAUUUCCAAGCUUGAGUAUGAAUUAGGGUUUGUAAUAAGUUGACUAACCUUUAGAUCUAGGCAUGAUNNNNNNNNNNNNNNNNNNNNNNNNNNNNNNNNNNNNNNNNNNNNNNNNNNNNNNNNNNNNNNNNNNNNNNNNNNNNNNNNNNNNNNNNNNNNNNNNNNNNNNNNNNNNNNNNNNNNNNNNNNNNNNNNNNNNNNNNNNNNNNNNNNNNNNNNNNNNNNNNNNNNNNNNNNNNNNNNNNNNNNNNNNNNNNNNNNNNNNNNUUCUUGAGCCAUUUCCAAGAUUGGGUAUGAUUUAGGGUCUGUAAUAAGUCGAUUAACCUUUAGAUCUAGGCAUGAUUGAGCUCCAGGAGCUCGGAUCCACUGCCUUUAUGAAGCCAUAUUGCAUGAAAGCCCUAGAUCUACUCUUUUAGUGCAUUUUGAGCCCUAAAACCUUCAUUGGUGUUUAUUUACAUGUAAAGUUGGAAACUUUACGUGUUAAUCAAGCCCUAGAAACCCAGAUCUAGGUAUGGCAUGAGCUGGAUUCAAGCAAAAUCGAGUGUAUAGUAUUUGCAUGUGACUGACUCGGCGAGUCGAGUUGCGAGUCCCCGAGUUUUCCCUUUUUUUGUGUUUGCGGAGUGGAGUGGUGAGUCAUGGGGUGUGACUCAGUGAGUCAGAAGCCAGACUCACCCAUGAAGUAACUCGGCGAGUCAACGCCCUGACUCGGCGAGUCCAAGGCAAUCUUCUUGCCUCAAGAACAGACUCGGCGAGUUGUUCAUACAACUCAGCGAGUCUGCAUAGCAUGUUCUUCGGAUGAAGAUGAACUCGACGAGUUGUUCAUACAACUCGGCGAGUAGGAUGAAGGACUAUUGGACUUUGGUUUAGAAGGAAAACUCGUCGAGUCAAUGCCUAACUCGACGAGUAGAGACGGGNNNNNNNNNNNNNNNNNNNCUCGGCGAGUUGGCAAGCCAACUCGGCGAGUCGGGUCAAUUGGAAGUUGACUUUGACCUUGACUCUUGGCUUGGUUAGGUAUAAAUGGUCAUUUUACCCUGAGGUCGAUUAGUAGUAUUUGACUGAGUGUUUUGUGUGAAUUAUAGCCGGAGGAUUUCCGGGGCAACAGCUGUAGAAGACAGUCAGUUCCCACGCAGAUCAGCAGCUACUUUGAGGUGAGUUACCUUCCAGUAGCGGUGNAGCUACUUUGAGGUAAGUUACCUUCCAGUAGCGGUGGGUCUACGGCCACAAUGCCGGCCCACCAGUAGGAAUUGUAUGAUAGAUGUUUGUCUCUGUGAUAUUCAUCUAGGGUUGCUACUACCUGUGAUAUGUUAUUGUGCUAGUAUGAUAUGAUGCUAUGUGCUAGUGACAGUAGGGGGGAGAUAGUCCCCCAGAAUACCGGUCGAUAGGGCCUAAGGGGCAGUCAUGCCCAAUCAUGCUAGAUAGAUUAUGUGAUAUAUGUGUUAUGUGGUAGUAGUAGGGGGUGAAAUAGUCCCCAGUAUUCGGUCGAGAGGACCGAAGGGGAGGCCAGCUCCCAGAUAUGCUAGCAUCCGGUCGAGAGGACCGAAGGGGAGACCAGCACCCAGAUAUGCUAGUCAGUAUCCGGUCAAGAGGACUGAAGGGGAGGCCAGCUCCCAGAUAGACUAGUCUGUAUCCGGUCGAGAGGACCGAAGGGGUAGGUCGGGCACCCAGAUAUGCCUGACAAUAUAUGUAUGUUAUUUGAUUGUAUGGUAUGUGGUAUGUUGGGGGAACUCACUAAGCUUCGUGCUUACAUUUUUCAGUUUUGGUUUUAGGUACCUCUUCUUCGAAGGGGAAGGAGCUGGCGCGAUAGCGGCACAUCACAUACAUGCUUUGUAUUCCGCACUAUGAGAUCUUCCUGGGGAUUUGUACUCUGACAUUGUUAUGUUUUAUAAAAUGGUUUCCAGACACGCAACAUCUUUUAUGAAAUGAUAUGAUCAGUGAAUGUUUUAUUUCUAAUGUUUUGCUAAGUGUAUGUUUUAAAAAUGAAAUUUUUGGCUCGUAUUUUUUGGACGUUACACCUAAUUAAUAAUUAAGGUCCAAUACUUACUCGCGAGUCCAAAUCCCACAACUAAACCUUUUUAGGGCAAAAGGACCAUUUUUCCAUUCUCAUGGUCCAAAACCCUAAAUCUUGACCAAGGAUCAAAGUCGAUAAAAGUCAACGCUCAGCGAGUACACUGAGCGUACCAUUCCUUACGUUGGGCAUACAAAGAAGUUAGCUUUAAUCGGGGGAGGAAGUGGCUACAUUGAGCAUAGCUAGGAGUAUGUCCGACGUACUCUGUCUGCCUCUACUUCCACCAAGUUAGUGUCUUAAUCCUUUAAGACAACUAACCUAACCACAUAUCUGACUAAUCUAAGAUGUCUUAACCCAUAAAGUUGUUUGCUUUAAGCAUUUACAUGGCGAGGAAGGACCUAAUGCAACAAUCUUUAGCUUCUAAUGCACUAUAAGCUACCUUACUCAUGCAUGAGCCAAAGGGAAUGAUCAAGGAACCAAUUUUAUGGAUCUAUAGGUCCUAAAAUGCAUGAACGGAUAGAUACAAUUCCCUAGAGUGUUCGAAACUCAUAAAGGUCCAAUCUUAGGGACAAAAUUUCAUAAAACAUCAACCAUGAAGAUCUAAAGAAAGGCUUGCCAAGGUAUAGAAUUUAUACCUGAAAAUGAUGCAUACAGAGGGAAGGUUUAUGGAUCUACAAGCUUGCUAGCACUCAUUCUUUCUUCUUGUCACAACUAGAAAUUUUGUGUCUUGUAAUCACUACACUCAAGUAAAAUGUAGAAUCAAAAAAAAAAAACUCAAAGAGCAUGUACGAUGCUUACUCUAUGACAACAUAAUUUCAAUCAAAUACACCAUACAAGUGCUACAAAUAGUCAAUAAGCAAUUGGAAAACCUAGAAGUUCUUGUUUAGGUCCAUUUUGGACUAGGACUUCCUUAUUGGACUCAAUGGGCCAAUAAGCUUCCAAUUUGACUAUCAUGGGAUUAGAACCUUUAAAUGGGCUCUAAUUAGACCCACAUUCAUGUAUUUCAACAUCUUGGGCCAUAUUGGACCUAGAAUGAAAUAAAUUAAAUAUUAUGAAUCAUAAUUAACUCAAACUAGCCCAACAAAGUGUAAAAAUCAUAUUAUAUUUUUUUUGGGCCAAAGAUCAUCCAAACUAACUAUAAUAUGGGCUUAGGGGCAAUAAAGCCCAAAAAUCUUUUCUUCCUUUCCAAAUCUCGGCCCAAGACAAGCCCAAGAAGAGGAAGUGGACUAUUGGCAUGACACCUCACUUUUGUAUGGGGGAUAUCCAAGUUUUACACCUCAAACAUCCAUGCACAUCUCAUCUCUCCAUGCAAACCACUCUCUUCUUCUCCCUCUCUCUCAUUCUCGGCCGAUUCCAACACACACACACACACAUAAUUCACUCACUUUUCUCUCAAGGAAACUCUCUCAUAACUCAUCCAUAUUUCGAGAUCUAAGGAGAAAUCAAGAGGAUUUUUACACAAAAAUCAACAUCUAAGGUAAGAAAUCUCUUAGAUCCUUAAACUAGCUACUUCAUUUCAUCCAAAAAUCACCACUUAAUUCAUUCAAACUCAUGAUCUUGCAUCCUAGAAACACCUCAAGGCCGAGAUCUUCAUCAAAGUGUGCUAGGGCCGAAAAUCACCUCAUUUUCUUUCAUCUUUUCUCCAAAACCGAAACCACACCCAAGGUGAGCUUCAUACCCCCUUAUUUUCGGUUUUUAUAAGUUUUGUGGUGGGAGAAUACAAGCAAAUGUGUAGAUCUAUCAUUAUGUGUAUGCCUUGUAUGAUUUCUAUGUUUAUUUACAUACUUUUGUGUGUUUAUGGUGUUGAAACUAGUCAAAAGGACCUAAAAAUCGAGAUUUGUAUUAUGAUGCAUGAAUCAAGUGCUAAAACAUAACAUUAUACAUAAGUCAUUACUAGAAAAAUAACCAAGAUGGUUUAGAUGAACAUCUUGGGCUAAAAAUCACAUUUUUUUGACUUAAAAUGCUAAAAAUAUGAAGUUUAAGGGCUCAAAAUGUCAAAAUACAAAUUCUGGAGGUUAAGAUGUGUCAAAACAAUUUCAUAAAGGAAUUUUCCAGAAAUAUACACUUUAGAAUGUUUAAAAUGUAAAUUUCUAAACUUAAUGGGCUAAAAGAGAACUUUUCGGCCCAAUAAGGCCCAAUAUGCGAAAAUUUCAAAGUUGAGGGGCUGAAAAUGCGUUUUCCUGUAAAACAGGGGUCUACUAAUGUCCCAAGUCCAUUUCAAGGGUUAAAAAUGCUUUUCACAUUUAAAAGGGACCAAAAAAUGCAAAAAUUCUCUAUUUUGGGCCAAAAGUGUAAAAUUUGCGAAAAUGAAGGUUCCAGCCGAAAAAGUUUCAUUUUGAGGGACUAAAACUGUUUUUCAAAAAGCUUUGAGCUGAAAAAUACUUUUUCUAUAAGUUUUGAUACUAAAGUGUCAAGAAAAAUGGCUUAGGGACUAAAAUAUAAAUUAUUUUAUAUAAGGGUCCAAAAGUGUAAAUUCAUCUAAAAAGAAGGGUCUGAAAAAUGUAAAAGAUUAAUGUCUUAAGCAAUGAACCCGACACAAUGAAAUGCUAGUACCUCAACUAUCGGCGAAAUACAAUACACCUACAACACCAAAAAUCGUUAUCAAACGAAUUGAUUCGGUCUCGAAUCAAUAACAAAUCCGAAACUACUAACGCGGCGAUNCCCAAAAGUGUAAAAUCUUGUUUGUUGGGCCUAGCUAGCCCAAUGACCUGAUCUUUAGGCCCGAAGACAUCAACCUUACGAGUUGUUGGGUCUUACAUGAUCCAACACAGCAUAAAAGGGCUUUCAAUGGCAAACGUGCUGUUGGUCCCCAAGGGUCCUUCGGUACUGCUAGCAAAGUCGAGAUUUCACCAAUGCGAGUUGGGCUAAGGGUCCUUCGCAUUCACGAUAGUCUUGAACGACGUAGGGAAAUACCGGGGUUUCGCACCCUCUUCUUUUCCCCUCGGUUGUGGGGCUACAUGAGUCCGGGUGGUUGGGUUAAGUGAAUAAGUGCAAGCGACGCCUAAAGGAUCGUUUGUACGGUUGUCAACUGGUCGUUUUCAAUAAUGUACGUUACAACAAUUCACAAUCCACUAUUAAUCCAACGUCUCCGGAGCUCAACGAAUACACCUGUCGUAACGAAAUAACAACACAUGAACUAAUUAAAGUAAAGUGAUAGGAAAACGUCGGGUUUUCCUAGGGUUUUCAAUUAAUACACCUUCGAACUACAUACCGAGUUUUACAAAUUGUACUCUUACAUUUAUAGAAACAAACAAGCAUACUUAUGGAUCUUCACACCUUUUUGACUAUACUAUUUUCAGAAAAUAUCGGAUUUUCUGGUGGUUUUCAAACAAUACAAAACAUUGGAUUUCAAACACUACUUAUGAACUCACCAACAUUUCAUAUGUCGAACAAUCUACUUUUGGGCAUGUAAUAUUAUGGAACAAUGUAAAGGAUGUAAACACUAUCAGUUGUAAUAUUCCAAUGCUUGGUAUUGUAUGAUGUUAUGUUUCAUGUAUAUUCAUUAUGAUGGUAUUCAAUUGAGUCACAACAGCCCCUGGACGUUUCCGCCGUCUGGUUCGGGGGUGUGACACUUCUCGUGUCUCCUUCUUCCACUACAAACACCAAGAACACUCAAAAACUUAAAAAAGCUCACAUAGGCAACACAACUCGGGAUUAGGGUUGUAGAGAGGGUUUGGAGGAUAAUAAGGAUGCUCAAAAUGAAGACAUAAUGCUCUUUAAACAGGGAAACCCUUAAGAACAGGGUUUAAAAUAUGGGAUAGUACGCCCGGUGUACCACACACUGUGUAGGACCAAUUCUGCAAGUCUUUUUCUUCAAGUGACCAAAUGUGCCACUUUUGAUAAAGAUUCAAGAGAUAAUAAUUAUACCUAAUUUUAGGAUGUUACAUGAAAUAUAUAAUUUUUUUCUAAAGGUAUACUACCAAUUUGUUUGUGUGCUUCCAUUUGUUGAAAAUUUGAUCUUUGCUUUGGUAGGAAACUUGGCCCAUUUCAUUGUGGAAUCAUUGGUAAAUUUUGUUUCAAAAAGAUUACCCACUUAAAUAGCCAUUAACCAUUGGGUCCUCCUUUACAUCCCAAGGCUACCAACUACCUCUUCUGUGGGGGUCCAAUGAUGAGUGGUUGAAGAAACCCUUUUUUUAUAGAGGUUUAGUGUAACACCCCGAAUUCAGAAGACCUAGAAAGGAAAGGAAAACCUCAAAAUCAUAAGGCGACUUGUCGAGUAGGUUGGGUGACUCGACGAGUAGGAGCGCGUUCCAGGUCACGGGUUAAGUGACCUACUCAACGAGUCGGAGGACCGACUCAGCGAGUUGUUCAGGGUUUGGGAAAGCCUAAAUUCAGGACUUAGCACCCUAUUUAAGCAUCUUAUUCUCCUCCUCUUGGUUCCAUUCCCAGCCCCCAUUGUCCAAAACUUAACCCACGAAACCCUAGAUCAUUUGGUGAGUGUGUGAGCCAUUCUUGAGUGUUUUGGUGUUCUUGGAGACUAGACGAGAAUGAGAAGGAGAUUAAAGGUUCAAGGAGGAACUUGUAUAUCCAGCAACACCAUCUCCUUUCCAUCAUUUUCUGGUAAUCAAGUCUUCAUCUUGACUUAUAGCUUCUUAGAUCUAUUUGUGUCCACUUUAUGAGAGUUUUGGUCCAUGGAGCUUGAUCCAUGGGACAAGGAUGUCCCAAGAAAAGAUCCUUUCAGAUCUGGGGUCCCUAAGAGUGUUUAAGGCAUAAAGGUGCAAGCUUUAUGCCAUUGGAACCCUCAUGAAAGCUUUAAAGAGGCUAUUAUGGCCUUUUGAGCAAAAAGGGCCAUGCAUGGAUGUAAAGGCAUAGGAUUUGUGUGUUAUUUUCGACCCUAGAUGGUUAGAUCUGGGUCCUAGAUGCUUUGUGUUCGACUGAACUCGUCUGAAUAGACUUGGACUUAGAGGGUCCCAGAGAGUCGCUCAUAAGACUCGAUGAGUCAGGCCGUUUUCUUGCCCAAAACCCUUCUAUUAGUGGGUGUGAGUUGAGUUGGAAGAGGACUCAGCUAGUUGGGUUCAUUAUGGACUUGAAGUUCAUCAUACUCGACGAGUUCAAGGAGGAAGUCGGCGAGUCCAAGGCAAAAUCCCUAACUUAUGAAGAUGGACUCGACGAGUCCAAAGGUGAACUCGGCGAGUUAGUUAAGCAAUGGUCCCGACAUAUUUGAAUGAAAACUCGCCACGCUCAAGGAAGACUCGACGAGUAGGAUCGAAGUCUAGAGUUAUGUGUAGAUUGUGGGACUCGACGAGUUGGUGGGUCAACUCGGAGCGUUGACUUUGACCUGGUUUGACUUUUGAGGGUAUUGUGGUCUAAGUGUUAUUUUGGGUAUUGAUAGUUCAGGGAGCGGAAGGAUCAACAGUUCAGGAAUUGCCGAUUAGCAGUCAGAGGUGUUUAGCUAGUCUUCAGCAGUGCGAGGUGAGUCUCCUCACUGUGUGCAUGGGUCUACUGCCACAAUGCCGGUCCAUUAUGUUUAUGUAUCGUAGGAAGGCCCGGGGGUUAGCCCUAGGCACUUAUUGUAUAUGUUCCGGGUUACAAACCGAUGCCGAGCGAGGCCCCAUGAAUGUUAGUAUAAUAUAAGUCUUUGUGAUUCUUGCAUGUGUCGAUACGAUAGGUUCCGGACCAAGGUCCGAUGUCAGGGUAAGACCGAAGUACAUUUAUAUGGUAGUAAGUUCCGGACUAGGGUUCAAUGCCGGGGCAAGCCUGAGGAGGAUUUAUAAGUACACGAUAGAUUAUACUUGUUGUCUUUGUGAUACUUGUAUGUGCCUGGUAGGGAGGUGAGUGUGGGCGAGGUCUCGCAUCUCAUCACUAGUUGAGUAUGGAUGGGGUUCUAUAUCUCGAUAUUAGCAGAGUAGGGGCGAGGCCCGUGAUAGGAGAUAAGUGAGUGUGGGCAGGGGGCCAUAUCUCACUAACAGUAGGAGUGUGGACGGGGUUCCAUAACUCAUCAGUAGCAGACCAGGGGGGGCCAAGAUAGGCGAUACCUUAGGACAGAAGUACAGUAGAUAAUGUUUUCUUUAUGUGCUAGUAUGUUUUCUUUAUGCGCUAGUAUGUUAUUUGAUUGCAUGUAUGUGUACGAGUUGUGUUGGGGAACUUACUAAGCUUCGUGCUUACGGUUUUCAGUUUUGGUUUUAGGUACUUCCGGUAGCGGAGGGAAGAGCUCGAGAUGAUCGCAUGGCACACACCAAAAAGUUUUAGCCUGUGAUGUUUUUACUCUGAUAAUUAGAACCUGUUUUGAAAUGACAAACUAAUUUGACAUAUCUGUCUUUCGUUAUGGUUGAAAUGACGCUUUUUGAGGCGACAAAUGACCAUUAGCGACGACUAGUUGGAGGGAAAUGAAUGUGCCAUUUUCUCGUGAUUAUUGGCCGUUUGAUCAUGUGAACAUCGUAGGGUUAAGAUUGCUUGUCAUGUGGGUCACACGGAUCGAUGGCAAUAGCGGUGACACUCUCGCCUGCCUUUUAGCGGCGACACCACACAUGUCUUGUCUGAUGUCGCUAAAAGGGUUGUCCCUAAUGCUCUGUUUUCUUGUUGUGAUCUUUUAUUAUUUAGGAACCUAUUUACCUCUUUGGGCUUCUACUGAAUUGAGAAAUAGGUUUGACCGUCUAUCUUUUUGAUAUAUGGAUAUUUAUAUAAGGCAUUUUCUGGAUAAUUCAAAUCGAAGCAAUUGGAUAUCCAGUUUGGGCCUAUGGUCUUCGAUGAGUAGCAAAAGAGCAAGAGAGGGGAGCAGUAGUGGGUUGGGUGGCCAGAGAUAGAGAGAAGUAGAGAAUAAAAGAAAGACGAGACAAGGGGUGUCGGUGGGGUGUGUAGCGAUGCAUAGGUUUCAAAAUAAACUUAGUGAUUAAUCCCAUCUAACAGUUUUAAUCUCAAUUGCUUUUAUAUAUAACUUCAGUUAAUCGUGUUUUGUGACAACUUUUGUCAUAUGUCAUGGUACAACAAUUGAGUAUUUUGGUGCUCAAAUAGCCGAUUCAUCCAUUUGAUUAGGAAUUUGUAGAUAUUGUUGUGUGAAUCAUGACAAGACACUUGGUAAUAAAUUGAAAUAAAAAAAUCAUCAUCUUCUUUUUAUCAUACGCUAAAUGGCAGAAACUUUAUCGACAUUUACAACACAUAAACGCUCUCUGAUUCGAACUUCUGGAGCUUAAGAAAACUAGGGCGAUAACCCAUUCCAGUGAAGUAACGGUUGAAAAUUUUUGUGUCUUCAAUUGUUCUCGUUUUAGGAGAAUAUGCCAACAACUUGUCUUCAUAAUAGAUCAUCAAAAUUGUUCCAUCUUUUAAACCUUCAGUCAGAUACACAGGCUCCCACAUCACCCAAUCCAGAUCAGGGCUGAUACUUUCCUUGAUAAUCACCUCUCUAUGCCAAGAUUCCUUGAUCCCAUAUUCCUUCAUCACCCAAAUCGUGAAUUGAGAUUCAAACGUAUCAGAUUGACAUAAACAACCUUUAAGGACUGCCAAACUUUGGAAAUGCAUCUGACUCUCUUCUAUAAUUUCAACUGGAGGAGAUGGAAACAACUCAAACGUCUCCUUGUCAAAAUCAAACGUGCAAAGCUCUUCGGGGGAAUCCCUGUCAAGAACAAUCCAAUGAGCGUUACCAUUUAGAAAUGGCCCAGACCAUCCAUUAAGCAAGUAAGGGACAUGACCGAGACUUCGCCAUUGACAUGUGCCAAGGGUGUAAACCUCGGCUUCUACUAUACUCGGCCGAGAUGAUGAGGUGGGGUCGGGAGGUAUAUCCCCUUGGAAGAUCCGUAUCACUUUGUAUUCCUGUGUUAGUGACCCAACACCAAAACAAUAAAUAAUCAUCGCAUAACCUUCUCUAUAGUAUUGCUGCCUAGGGAGGAUCAUAUACUCUCUAGUGAUUGGAUUGCAUAUGUAAGUGUUAUCACUUUUAGGACCAUACUGCCAUAGGCAGAUCAAACCAUUGACUGAGCCCACCGGGAGUAUUUGAGAGUGUUGGAAAAUGGGUGCGAGAUCAAGGUCAAAUGUCAUGACAGGGUCAUGGUGUAAAUGGUGGUGAUCAAGUUCGUCUUUCACCUCCACCCACUUCAAAAUGCCCACUUUACGUGGUGCCCUCAUUCCAUUAUCAGGAUUAUGGUGAAGCAUGAGGCUUGCAGGUGAUCUCGAGAGGUGAAGAUUGGCAAAGUAAGAGUCGGAAAUGAGAUCCAACCAUUUCUUGCAUACAAACUUGCAGUGGAUGAUCGUCUUUACAGGAAGUCUUGAGAGAAUAUCGAUCAUGACAUGUACAGGUAAGUCUUCCAUUGAUGGACUUAGAAUAGACAUAAUAUUCUGGUAAUAAAAGCUUAAUUAGACUUUGGUGGUGGAUAGCAGCAGAACAAAGAGAAUAGCUGAGUUUGGUUUGAUUGUGGUUGUGGAUAUGAAUAUAUUUUGUGGUGUAUGUGAUUUAUAAUGGAGGAACUUGGAAAGGUCCUUUGCUUGGAAGAUAAGUACAGUUGAAUUUGACAAGUAUUUGGUCCAAUAAGUCGUCAUCUCUGACUGGAUUCAUGUUGGAACCUUCUAUAACGUUAUGUUGAUUUAAACUUGCAAAUUUGAAGGCCCAAAAAGAUAAAUAGCGGCCCUUAGAAACAGCGAGUUGGAUGCCUGGUGUUUAGUGAGUUUUUUUUGUAAAGAAAAGGAAAAUAUUGAGAGAAAAAAGGGGAAGGGUGUGAAAAUUGAGUUCGAAAUAAAUGAAAAGAAUAAUUUUAAGUUUUUGUGUUUCUCAGCCGGAAGGAAAAAGAAAAGUAACACUUAACAAUUUUCUUUCCGCUCACUUUCUUCCCAAAUCCGCUUAAUUUGAGAUGAAAAUUUGAAAGAAAAAUAUUGCUCCAAAAUAUUUUCUUUUUCCUUACUUUCCUUCCAUUAAUGAAAUUCGGAAACAUAAUUUUCCUUCGACAUCUCUCACUUUCCUUUCAUUUUCAUAUGUAUCCCUCAUUAAUUAGAACUCGAAAACAAGACGUAAAUGUUUUGAGAGUAAAACAAAAAUCGUGUGGUUUUCUAUACUAUUUCGAUGUAAAGAAAUAGCAUAAUAUUUUUAUGUGUCAUAUUUUAUCCUUCAUUUUUCAUUUUAUUCUAUAAAAUAUAAAAAAUUAAUCCUAAAAAAUAAAUUGUCAUUAUAUAUCAUUAAAUAUAAAAAAAUCGUGUAUUAAAUAUAUAUUUUUAUUUUAAAAAAUGUCAUUUUAAUAAAAUAACACCUAAUUUAUAUUAAUAAUAUGCAAAUAACUAAUUUCACUAUAAUUUGACAAUAAUAUAUUUUAUAAAGUUUUUACACAAAAAAAAAAUAAAUAAGUAAAAAGCUAACAAUAUAUUGUUUUUGACAAUGUAUAUAAGUUUAAAAAAUAUAUAUACUAAGAAAUAUACUUUUUGGUAUAAAAAGUUGGUGCUAAAAGUAUUGUAAGAUUAGAGAUUAAAUACUAUUUGCACCAUUUUGGUGUAAAAAAAACUGAAUAGGGUUUGAGAUAGUCUUAGGUGUUGAAAAUGUGUGUUGUGCUUGAGAGUUCAAGUCUAAUGGUUGAUAAAUGUUUAGUUUAUAAAUAAGAUUUUGAGAGUGUGUAUUAGCCGUUGUAACAAAAGGUUAAAGUCCAAUGGUUGAAUUUUAGAAUAAAUGAGCUCUUUUUGAUUCAAACUUCUGGACCUUAAAGGAUCUUGGACGAUAAGCAUAUUCCGGGAAAUGAUUGAGAGAAGACAUGGUUUCAUAGUUGGUUUUGGAUUUGGUUAUGGUUCUUGUAUGUAUUUAUUGUGUGUUUUCAAACCAUCUAAUGAGACUCAAAAAGGUGUUUUAGGGACAUAAAAAGUUGGUUAUAGGAAUGACCUUGCCGCCUCUGUUGCUUUGGAUGAUACUCGGUAGCCGAGGCAUCAUAUUUUCUCUUCAUCAUACAUUCCAACGAAUUAAAAAUCAUGCAUUUGUUCAAUGUAUAUGUUAUCAAAUGAUAAGGAUGCAAGUGACACCAGCAAAUUGCGACUUGAAGACCUAAAAAAUCACUUAUGACAACCAAUAGCAAAUCACUAAAUGAAAUGUACAUGGCAAAAGUAUCAUGUGCACCCAUAAGAACCAUUUGAUACACAUAUGACAAUGGAUGUUCCUUAAAGAACUUAUGUUGAGCUUUAAAAGAAACGAACUCUUUCAUUUUCAAAGUUGUGUAGUCUAUGAAAACUAGGACGAUAAGGCAAUCCGUUGAAGUAGCGGUCAAAUAUUUCCAUGUCUACAAUUGUUUUCCUAUGAGGACAGUAAGCAAAUACUUUGUCUUUAUAGGACGCCAUCAAAAUAGUUCCAUCUUUUAAACCUGCAAUUAUAUGCACGGUGUUCUUCGUCAGCCAAUCAAAAUUAGGGAUGAUACUUUUUUUUUAUCACCAACUCUUUAUGCCAAGAUUUCUUGAUCCCAUAUUCCUUCAUCACCCAAACCGUCAAUUUAGAAUUGUAGGUCUCACUUCAACAUAAACAACCCUUUAGAACUCCUAACAUUAGAAAAAAUGUCUCACGUUCUUCUAUAACUUCACAAGGAGGAGAUGCAAACAACUCAAAUGUCUCCUUGUCAAAAUCAAAAGCAUAAAUCUUUUAAGGGGAAUCUUUGUCAAGAACACUCCAAUGAGCAUGGCCAUUCAAAAAUGGCCCAUUAAAGCCUUUGAGCCGGUAUGGUACAUGACCGACACUUCUCCAUUGGCCACUACUAAGGGUGUAGACCUCCGCUUCAAAUAGGCUCGGCUGAGAUGCUGAGAUAAUAUCUCAGUAUACAUCCCCUUGGAAAUCCGUAUCACUUUGUAUUCCUGUGUACGUAAACUAUAACAAAAACAAUGAACAAACAUAACAUAACCUUGUCUAUAGUAAUGUUUCCUAGGGAAGAUGAUAUAUUCUCUAGUGAUUGGAUUGCAUAUGUAAAUGAUACUAUGGCCAACCUGCCACAGGCAGAGCAAACCAUCGACUAAGCCCAAUGUGUGUAUUUCAGAGUCUGGGAAAAUGGGUGCAAGAUCAAGGUCAAGGCUUAUGGAAGGGUUGCAGUGUAAAUGGUGGUUAUCAAGUUCGUUUUCACACCCCCAAACCGGAACGGCGGAAACAUUCGGGGGUGGUUAACGUCAUACGUAGUAUCACAACAGUUGUAUCAUAGUAAGCAUAGUAAAUACAACAAAACAUUGAAUACAUAUAUGAAAAAGGUUUACAUGGUCUUAAUACAUAGUUUUGUUCAUAUCAAAAGUAAAGUGGAAAGAUGUGACUCUAACGCGCCGCCUUCUCUAAAAUCCUGGAAGUAUCUGUCUACUAAUUUCCUGAGAAUACAAGCAGUUUUGAAAGAAUAUCAACAUAAAGCUGGUGAGUUCAUAAACAUUUGGUUUUGGUGGAAAAUGUUCUUUGAUCCUUUUGAAAAGUGUUCCUCAAGAAAAUCCUAUAUUUUCUUAUGAAAAGCGUGUUUGAAAACCCAUUGCUUCCAUGACUUCCAGAUUCAUACAAGAUAUGUACAAUCCAAGGUGUCAUGGAAUGAAUAUGAAUAUCCGUUAGUUACUUGUUAAACAACCCGUUUAUGAAAAGCCGAGUUAUCCUGGGAAUAUCCUAUAUUUUCCCUAAAGGUUGAUCAUUGAUUAUCCGUUCUAAACCGAGGUGCACAAGUAUCUACUAUACUUAUAUCGAUAAACGUAGUUUUCUUUUCAAAAUCCUGGUUACUCCCAGUGAGGUAUAUUAGCCCUAUUACAUAAAUAAAACUAAUAAAAGAAAACGUGAUGAACUAAAUCCUGAAGGUACUAUUAAUACCCUCCAAUAAUCAAAUUCGUUAUUACUUUGAGGUUGGUUUACUUGAUUCAUUAUUAAAAAAGUAAAUCUAUGCUAUCUACAUUGUGAGUUUCAUGACCAUAACUCACUGGAUAUGGCCCGCAACGGGGCCGGUAUCCUUUAUGACUUUGUAACCCGUAAACCUGCCGGUCCGACUGUAGCUAGCAGCAAGGUGCGGGAUUGUCAGUCCCGUAUAGAUCUAUACACAACAGUCACGGUCUCCCUACAAGGGAUUCUGGUCACAAGUGAUAGUCCCACACUCUGAUUCUGUGGGAGUGUUACCAAAGACGUGUCUCCAACUUAGACUAACAAAUUUACAAGUAAUAAUAUAGAAAAAUCCUUUUGUGAUUAACAUGAAUCCUUAAUAAAACGAUACAUUUUACUAUAUGAUUCAUAAGUUCAUUGCUCUAGUUUUGAAAACUGUUUCUACGAGUUGAUUUCUUAAUUGUUUGGUAAAACUGUUUUCGGUGUUAAAAGCAUACUGAAAAUAUAAUUAUCUUAAACAAAAUAAUAUACUUUGAGCACAAGUUUCCUUGUACUUUUGCUUGUAUUCCCCCCUGAAAACAUGAAAAAAUCAAAAAAAGCGUAGGGGUAUGAACUCACCUUGGGUAAGUGGUUUGAAGGAAGGAUCGAUACGGAAUGCCGGAUGUUCAAGCGAAGCAUUGAACACGAUUUGAUCCUAAUUAACAAGUAAUGACACAUAAAGGAUGUCAAAUGAGGGUAUUUCACCACUAGAUGUGAUGGAGAACCACUCUAGGAACUUGGAACUACUUGUACUAAGUGUUAGAACCUUAAAGGAUUGCAUGAGGGACGUGUAUGGCCAACUUAAAGGUGUGUGCGGCCAUGGGUGUGCGGCCCAAGGGGUGUGCGACCGUACACUCAUGAUGGAAGGUGUCAUUGAGGGGUUUUCAAUGUCCAUACUUGCAUCCAUGAAGUGUUCUAUGUCCAUACUUAAUUGUAGUACAAGUUUAGGGGUCCUAGAAAUGGGUUUUUGGUCCUAGGGUGUGUGUGUGGUCGCAUACACAUGAGUGUGCUGCCGCACAAGGGAGUGUGCUACCUCACACAUGAGUGUGCUGCCGCACAAGGGUGUGUACAGCCGUACACAGGCGUGUGCGGUCGUACACCCUACAUGUUUGUGUCCAGAACGCCAAUUCUAAGGUGCAACAAGGCUAUGGACAUGUCUAACUCGAAGAUGGAAGUCCAACUCUCACUUUGGAGGGUCUUUUAGGAGUGUGAGGCCACCUUAUGUGGGUGUGCAGCUGCACUCCUUCAAAGAGAUGAAGAACAUGAUGGGACAUGAUGAAUAAAGGCUUAGAUCAAGAGGCUCUUCAAGCACAAUAAGCUAAGGGAUGGAUUACUCAUGUUUUUGAAGCCUUGGGAGGGUUUGUGGUUGAAGAAGAUUGAGAGAAAUGGAGUGGUGUGCUGCCAAGGUGUUAAAGGAAUGAAAGGAAAGGGGUCUACCCUUUUUAUAGGGGUGGGUGUGCUGCCUAGGAGUGAGUGUGCGGCCGCACACCCAUAUGUAUGGCCGUACACUCCCCCUAAGGGUGUGUAUGGACCGUUUUUGUCACCCUACGGCUUGCUGACUCAUUCCUAACAUCAACCUUGGUUGUACUCAAGCUUAGAACGCUUAUAUGAACCCUUAAUCAGUGCUAGGAGUUAUCAAAAACGAGUUUAACAUAGAUUAAUGGACUAGAUGUACCAGGUGAAAGUUUCGGGUUGCCACAUUCUUCCUUGAUCUCCACCCACUUCAACAUGCCUGGUUUACAAUACCGCAAAUUUAUUUUUUUGAUUAUUGAUGAAUCAUGAGGCUUGUAAGUGAUCUAGACAGGUGAAGAUUGGCAAAGUAAGAGUUAGAAACGAGAUACAACCACUUCUUGCAUACAAAAUUGCAAUGGAUGAUUGUCUUCACAUGAAGCCUUAAGAGAAUAUCGACCAUGACUUCUGUCACACCCCGACUGUCGGCAGAAACAUCGGGUGGUGUAACGUCAUUCUUCGUAUCACAGCUAUAUAACAUACACUGAACAGUACUAAAGAAAAUACAUACCUUUAUUGAUGAUUGAAAGUUACAUUAUUGUUUUCCUAGUACUUAUUACAUAAUAUCCGACUAUGGCAUACUUCUUAAUGAACAAAAAGGUAAUAAUAAAACUUCUUCUGUUCGAAUACAUACCAACUUUUCAAGUUCCUGAAAACACAUGCAUUUUAAAAUACGUCAACAUAAAGUUGGUGAGGUCACAGGUUUUGACUCCAUAUGAAAAUAAUACCUUUCCUAUGUUAAAAAGUUUAGUUUCUGAAAGUACCAUUUUGACACUCCAACAUUUAGUAUAUAUUUUAGGUAUAAUAGUUUACUUAUCAAAUAAGUGUUAUACUUAAACGUUCCUUGAACCUAGGGUAUGAGUAGGGGAAACUUAUACUUAACAUUAAUACUUUUAUACGACAAAGUAUAAUGUUUCUAACAAUUUGCUACCAUGAGCCUGUAACCGCUGCUAUGACAUAAUACCUCUGAUAAAACACACUCAUGAUUUACCAUGAGAAACAGUACCGCACGCUUCAUUGACGUCAGAACAAUAACAAGUAUAAGGAUAGUUCGUCACUUGCUUAUGGUUGACUGUAGCUAACAAUCACAAGUGGGGUGGUCAACCCGUAUACUAAUUAUACACGACUUCCUCGCUCACACGAGAUUAAUGGUUACAGUUCAGAGGAUUUCCGCUAAGAUCCCCAAUCUUAGUUGAUGAAUACAAUUACUCAUGUAGACUUCGACGGCUUCCUAUAGCUCUAACAAAAAAGCAUUUUCAUGUCUAAAAUCCUAAGUUACUAGACUAUGCUUUUAAACAUUACUCCUAACUUCAUAACAUUUAGGCAGUAUAACAACUAUAACUUGAAGUAAAACCAGGUUUUAUCUUCACAUAAAACCAAUAAUAGCAACAUACUUUAUAAAUUAACAUAUAGAACUUCCGAAUAUAACUUAGGAACUAUAUCGCACACAACAUAUAUAUAGAAUCCUAAGUAUAAAUCAAGAUCUACAUUAGUAUAAUAACAUGCUGACAAGUUGAUAAUAGUUGUAUAUAUUCAAAAUAAUAUAUUUAGAACACCUAUACCCCGGUUAUUAUAACUAUCUACGUUGAUACUAAUAUACUAUCAAAUAGACAUAAUAGUAACAUAUAUACAAUAUUUAACAUGCGUUUUCCCCCGAAAUGUUAGAAAGUGGGGCCAUGAAACUCACCCUAGUAGCGUGAUUUUAUGUAAUCUAAGCAGAAACUGUCAGCGUACGAGGUCAUCGGGGCUCGGGAUGCAAGAGGGCUUCAGCAAAUGAGAGAAAGGAAAAAAGUUAAGGUGUAGGAAUAGCUGAAGUUGGACCUGCUAUUUAUAGUAAUAUUUUUCUCCUUCACGUCGUGAGUCUAGCAUGAUCAUCUCGUAGACUUGUCAUUUGCGUCCCUAGCUUCGGAAGGUGGCCAGAUGAGUCCUCACGUCGUGAGAUAUCCUUGCUCACGUCGUGAGUUUGGAACUUAUCCCUUCGUAGCCUCGUCACACACCUUCUAGAUCUGAAAUGUGGCAAAAUGAAUCCUCACGUCCUGAGUUUCUGUGCUCACGUUGUGAGCACAGUCAGAUUAGGGUUUCUGACAGCUGAAUCUUCAGAAGGUCGUAACUUUCACAUACGAACUCCGUUUUUGAUGUUCUUUAUAUGCACGUGUAGGUAUUUACAGGUACUACAACUCUCUUUUAGACUCCAAUAGCUAAUUCUAAGUCAGAUUUAUAGUGUUCGGUUUAUCAUAACUUCUUCAUGCAAAGUCAAAUUCAGACGUUGUCUAUAUUUUUGGAAUCGUAUGGACGUAUACUUUAAGUUGUAUCAUAAAGAAAGUUCAUAUUUGUAUUAGAAUUUAUCAUGAGAUACAUAUCACUCUUAUCACAUUACUGUUGGGUUUUGAGCAUUCUAACACUUCCUAAGUGUACAUGCAACCCUAAAUACCUUGGAUCUAUGUUUUCUCUAUUAUACAUGCAAAUAAGAACUUCCAAGGUAUUAUCCUAAUCUAGCAUAUAAAACAAUGUAUAUAGUAGGAUAGAAUACAUACCUUUUUGGUGUAGUAAAUCUUCAUGAAGCUUGAGUGCUUAGUGCCCCAAGUGUGACACCUCAAAUGGAAUCACAAUCAUCAAAACACUUGGAAUGACUUGAGAGAAUUCUACACUCAUCAAAAUCGGCUAGCCCUUUCUUCACUAUCUCUAGUGGCCGAUUUUUCCUCAAUAAUAAGAUGCUUAUAUAGUUACACAAUUAGGGUAAACUCUUAAUUGUCAUGGCUUUCCAUUUCCUUGGAUCCAUGGGUACAAAUACACCAUGGAGCAUCCAUGGACCAUCCUAUGGGUUUUAGCCCAACUUGAUUAUCCAUGGAGCAUUAGCCCACUAUACAAGUAUGGAUGAUUUACACAAUCAACCCAUAUAUUUAAUUAAUCUUCUUUUGAUCACUUAAUUAAUCCUAGAUUAAUUCUUGAUCAAUACUAAUUAAAUAAUCUUAUUAUUCUUAUUAUUAAUAUACUAGAACUUAUAAUAUAUUAAUAACCAUAAGUGUCUUAUUUCUCUCAUUCAAGUGCAUGAUGGUAUGCAACCCAAAUGGACCAUGCCGGGUCGGGUCAAGUCUUACCAAAUAUAGUUAUGGACUUAGACAUUAAUCCAACAAUUACUAGUUUAACAAAAUCACAUUACAUGAUUAGCAUAAUCACAUGUGAUUGUCUAUUGACCUAUUUUGACUGGUGUUACAACUUCUACCGGUAAGUCUUCCAUGGAUGUAUCUUAAAGAGACAUUAUUUUCUUGAAUUAUGGAUGGAUUCAAAACAAUAGUCAAUCAUAUCACAAUAUUAUUAACAUAAUAAUAAACUAAAAGUUAAUUAAAGACCAACUUAUAAUCAUUCAUACAAGGGUUCCUAGCAAAGUAUAACCUAUUAAUAAUCCCUAACCAAAAUACGUCCAUAAUCCUAACAAAACAUUUUAUUUGAUAACCACUAAUAACUCAAAUUAACACAAAUUAAUUACUACUAAUGAAGACUUUACCACUAACAGUAAUCAAUAGGGAAAAUUACACAUACGACCUAUGAACUUUCUAGGGUUUACCCUUUUAGUCACUAAACUUUUUUAGUGGCUUUAUGAGGGAACGAACUUUAUUUUGUCGUGUCAAUUACGUCAUUAUGUCAAUUGUGAAGGGGUCAUCCGGUCAUAUUCCUGUCGCAUGUGUUACUUAAACCCCUUGCCUUGAUGACUGUGUAUUACUAAAAGGUUUACUUAAAUGAGAUAUUUUCCCGUCUACUGUUCACCAUUCACCACUUCCAGCUCAUUCGAUAAACCCCUCCUUUCAUUCUGUCUCCUCAAACCUCACACAUGGAUCCCGUAUUCAUCCAAUUCGAUGUGCAUUUCCAAGGAAUCUUUGCAAACUACCCUAUACGCUACACCGGGGGGAUUACUCAGAGGUUGUCGGACAUCGAUUUCAUAAGCAUGGACAAGAACGGGUGUUAUGAAUUUAUCGAAAGGUUCACCAGAGAAAAGUGUGCAAAGCUCUAUUACUGUUAACCAGAUAUUCAUUUUCCCAAAGGUCUGACAUUAAUUUAGAAUGAGUUGGAUUAUGCCGAUUUUAUCGCAAUAGUGUAUGAAUGUGGUGUUAUACUACCUAUGUACGUAGAACAUUUUGGUGAUACUAACAUGCAGGAAUGGUUGGAAGAACACAAAGAAGAGGUAGUUGAUAACAUAGUGGAAGAAGUUCUUGAUGGUGCAGAACUAGUUAAAGAAUUUGAGACAAGCCAUUUGGAUUAUGAAGAUGAAAAUGAAAAUGAAGAUGAGGAUGAGGAUGACCAUGGGCUGAGGAUGUGGAUGCUGAUGAAGAUGAGGAUAACCAUAGCAGCCCUCAUUUUAUCAAAAAGGAUAGUGGCCCUGAUGUCGAAAUGGGUGAGAAUGCAGCUUUGGGUGGCUCUCUGGAAGAAGCUAUGGAUGAUGAUGAAGAUGUUUAUCCUCAGUUGCCAAACAUUUUCAAUGAAAAUCUACACUGGAAGGAGCAGGAAUCUGUGUUAGGUAUGAGGUUUAAGAGUCCUAAACAAUUGAAACACAUGCUCUGUAACUAUGCAGUUGUAAAUGGUUAUCAAUUAUGUUUUGUGAAAAAUGAUAGUAGACGGUUGCUAGCCACAUGUUAUGAUGGAAAAUGUACAUUUAGGGUUUAGGGUUCAUGGAUGAUUGAUGAUAAGUCUUUCAAAAUUAACUCUCUUAUUAGUGAGCACAAUUGUUCAAAGAAUUCAAAUUCGGAUCAAUUGUAACUUAUAGAUGGAUAGGUGCCCACUUUACCCAAUAAUUUUUCAACAAUCAGAAGAUGAGUGUGAGAUUACUAAAAGAGGAGGUCAAAACCACUUUAGGCAUUGUUGUAAGUAUGAGUCAGUGUAGGAGAGCAAAGAAGUAUGCAUUGAGUCUAGUUGAAGGCAUAGUUGCAGAAAAUUAUGCUAGAAUAUGGUCUUACGGUGAAGAGAUUUAAAGAUCAAAUCCUGGAUCCACUGUUAAAAACUUAUGUUGAUACAAUGCCUGAUGGUAAGAAUUACUUCAGCCAGAUUUACAUAUGCUUUGAUGCACUCAAAGAAGGGUGGCGUGGAGGGUGUAGACGGAUCAUUAACUUGGAUGGUUGUUUCUUGAAAAGUUUUUGCCAAGGUGAGUUACUGUAUGUUGUUGGUAGGUAUGCUAACAAUGGAAUAUUCCCAAUUGCUUGGGCAGUUGUAUGUGUGGAAAACAAAGAGAAUUGGAAACGGUUCAUUGAAAAUCUUGUAGAAGAUUUGCAAUGUUGGAAUGAUGGAAGUGGUUUGGUCUUAAUUUCGGAUCAACACAAGGUAUGUUUGUAAAUUAUUUAAAAUAGUAUAAUAAAUAUUUACAUUUCUAACUUCACCUAUUAUUGGUACAUAUGCAGGGUGUGGUUGAGGCAGUCAAAAAAGUAUUCCCAGUAGCAGAACAUAGGCAGUGUGCUAGGUAUAUAUAUGAUAAUUUUAGACAAGGGCGGAUCUUAUAUAAGGCUAGGGGGCUGUGGCCCCCCUGAUUUUUUUGGCGGAAAUAGUCCUUAUACUUUAAGAUUUAUACAUAUUAGGCACAAAAAUAUAAAAUUUUGACUAUGGCCCCCCUGUUCACCAAUUUUUAUACAAAUUAUAUUUUCGGCCCCCCAAAUGAAAGAUCGAAGCUCCGCCACUGAUUUUAGAAAGAGGUUUAGUGGAGCCAAGUUUAAAAUUUUGUUUUGAAGAGCAAGCAAGGCAACAACUAAUGCACAUUUUAACACAGCCAUGAAAGAUAUUGAAAAGUUGAAUCCUGAAUUGGUUAAGCAUUUUAUGGAUAAGGAUCCAAAGACUUGGUCUCUAGCUUUUUUUAGAGUUCACCAUUCAUCAUGUGAAUCUGUGGAGAAUGGCUUUUCAGAGAGCUUUAAUAGUGUCAUUUUGGAUGCUAUGAAGAAACCUAUUAUCAGCAUGUUGGAGGACAUUCGUGUUGGAUUAGUGUCUGAGUCCAUAACUAUAAUUGGUAAGACUUGACCCGACUCGGCAUGGUCCAUUUGGGUUGCAUGGCAUCGGGACAUUUGGAUAAACCGUUUGUAAGAAAAGGACAUUUGUGACGUAUUACUAUAUUAUAAGUUCUAAUAUAUUAUGUUAUUUAAUUAGUAUUGAUCAAGAAUAAAGUUAGACUUAAUUUAUUGAUCAAAAGAGACUAACUGAAUAUAUGGGGAUUGAUUGUGUAAAUCAUUCAUUCUUAUAUAUACGGGCUUAUGAUCCAAGAUUCCUUAUGUUGGGUUUAACCCAUGUGGUGGUCCAUGGAUACUCCAUGGAGGUUAAAACCCAUGGAGCAUAAGGAAUGGGUAAAGUCAUGGGUUACAUGGUGUAACCCUAAUGUGCACACUAUAUAAGGACCCCUUUAGCUCAAGAAAUUGACACAAGUAAUACACAUAUGAGGGCUAGUCAAUUUGAGCUUGGAGUGUCUUCUUCUCAUGGUUAUUCCAAGUGUUCAUGAUGUUGCGUGAACCAUUUGAGGUGUCAUACUUGGGGCACUAGGCUCUCAAGCUUCAUGAAGACAAGUUACAUAAAAAAAGGUAUGUAUUCUAUCUAUUUUAUUACCCAAGUACAUGAUAUUUGUAUGCUAGUAUAGGGUAAUAUCUUGGAAAAUUCAUAUUUGCAUGUAUAAUAGAGAAAACAUAGAUCCAAGGUAUUUAGGGUUGUAUGUGCACCAUAGGAUGUUGUAGUAUACUAAAACCCAACAGUGGUAUCAGAGACAUGGGUUGUUUUCUGUUAUAUUGAUGCAAAUGUUUUAUUUUCAAAGUUGAAAAAAAAGGAAAAAAAAGAUGACGUUUGUCAAAUUUUAAGAUAAUUACUUGUUUUUGUGAAAAACUAAUUAUUUGUAAAAUUUGAAUCAUUUGCUAUAUGAGUUGAAUUAUGUCAAAUUUAGUAAAAGAUAAAAUGAUACGAUUAUUUUAUUAAUUUUAAAAUUUUGAUCUAAAUGUUUUAAGGAGUUACAAAUUUUGUCAUAAAAUUUUAGAGCUCAAAAGUUUUUCUUAAAGUUGUGAUCUUAAGUAUUUUUGAAACCUCCAUAAGUUAUGGAUAUGAAAAGGUUUUAAAAAAAAUUGAUUCAAAGUUUUUAUGGAGUUACAAAAUUUGGUGUUAAUGUUUUAAAGAAUUCCAUAACUUAUUCUUAAGUUAUGGAACAUGAAAAGUUUCAUCAUAAAACAAGCAUUUAACUCCAUAAGUUAUGGAUUACCAAAAGUUUUAUGUUUCCUUGAUUUAUGAGUUAGUUUAGAUUAAUGAAAAAAAAUUGUGUUUUAGUUGUUUUCAAUCCUAAUUAAUCUAGAGGUAGUUCAUAAAAUGUGUUUUUGUAACUUGUCGUCAAGUUACAUAAAAGGUCACAUUUAUGAAUCUUAAAACUCAUAAAAGUGUCAUAGGUUACAUAANAACCUUAAUUAAUUCCAUAAGUUAUAAAAUAAAGAAAAGUUAAUUCUUUUAUUAGUUUAAAGUCUUCCAUAACUUGUCCUCAAGUUAUGGAACUUGAAGAGUUUUUGGAUUAAAACUACUUUAACUCAUAAGUUAUGAAAAUCCAAGAGUCUUGAAUAGUUUCAAAACUUGCCCUCAAGUUUUGGAAUUUGAAAAGCUUUCACUUAUGAAUACUUUAAUUCCAAGUUAGCCCUUAGAAUUUUAAAAGUUAAAAUUCAACCCUUAUACUUUAUAAUAUUAUAAGUUAAUAAUAUUUAUAUAUAUGUAUAAGAGUAAAGUCAGUCUUACCGUUAGUAGGCCUCAUUCACGAAGCCGGUCUAUAAGGGGGGUAUAAGGUUACUGCCUAUAAAAUGGCAGUUUAAUGGGUGUCCACUCUCACCCACCGCUUCCUUGACUGGUGGAGGGUCGUUAGCCGAACGGGUAGGACAAGGACUAUAAUUCUCCCUUCAUUAAAAGUAUUAAUGAUAAAUACUAAGUAACUAAACCUUUUAUAAAUACCCAAUCUUAGUUACUUAGGAAAAUGUGAAUAAGGUGCUAAUCCAUGAAAUUACACUUUGCACUUUGUUUAAGUCGGUUAGUGGAGCGUGUGUGGUUAACCGGCACACUAACUCGUAUUUAACAAGGUAGGCAAAGGGUAACUUAAUGUUUAUCAUAGUAUCGAUGGAGCGUGUGUGGUUAACCGGCACAUCGAUUGAGGGGUAAACAUUUAAGGGUACCAAGUAAUUUGCAUGGUUACUUCACACCUUGUUUUGUGAUCCUCGGCAUCCCAGUCACAAAACCUGAAGGGCACACUCGAGAUUGAAACAUGCCAUUGAACAGUUCAAUGAAUCUCAAAAGAUCUAGGAGUUUCAAAUCCAAGUAAAACCUAAUUAAAUUAUUUCGUUUUCAUGGUGGAAAUUGGUGAAUCAUCAUUCACCUACCUUCAAAUAUUCUAUAGCUUGGAUUACGACAUCCCUCUUCCAAGUUAUAAAAUAUUGUGUUGGGUCCUAGCCUUAAUAUUUCAUAUUGGGGUGUUAUAUUAAGGACUUUAAAUCAACUAUCUUGAAUGUCUCCUAAAAAGAUGUCUUGUUCAGACAUCUAUGAUCUUCCCAAAUCUCUUGAAACUUCACUUCCUCCACCUCCUCCAAUUAUUCUCCCUAUCCCACUAGUUCAAGGUCACUCAAGCCCUAUUGGCAAGGCAAGGUCUAAGUGUGAUCACAUCUUGGAGAUGAAGUCACAUAUUGACAAGCCGGGAGAGUUGUGUGUCAAAGUCUUGAGAAAGUUGGUGGUUCAAUCACUUUCUAAGUCACAUAGUGAGUUCCUUUGGGACUCCGAUGUAACUGACUAUGACAAGACCCUUAAUGAUCUUAUCUAUUUGCUAAAAUCAACUUCCUAAAACUUUAUGGACAUUGACAAUGAUGACACUGGAAAUCCUGAAAAAGCAUUCUCUUCCCAAUGGAAAAGGAUCGGCCAUAGUCAACUCGGUUGACGAAAUGGUAAAGAGAAAAGCUAAGUCUGUGAUAGUCCCACGUAUCAUUACCAAAGGGUCCAUUUGUUUAUAUUUCCAAAGGAAUAGGCGUUAUUUGCGAAGCUGCCAAUUUUACCUAAGGAUGUUAAAGUUAAUAAGUUUGACCCUACUUCAGGUAAAGUCCACUAUCUAACUUUUGCUAAGUUUCUAUUCUGAGAUUCUUGAUACAUGAUGUGACUGAGUCACAUGUUGAUGCUUUUAAGAAUCAAAGAAAAGUGAAGAAACUUAAAGAAAAGAAUAUGCUGAAUCUAAUCGCGUAGAUGGAUUUCUAUCGCAUAUUUUGAAGAUCAAAUUCUUGAGCUACUUCUUAGGAGUUAUGAUAUAUUGCUUAGGAAUAGAUAACAACAAAGUUUUCAUGCGCUUUUGCAUUGUAAGGAUAGUUUUUCCGCAAAGUUUUUAAAAUAAGAGGAAUUUUUUUUUGAUUUUAUUUAUUUUAAAAUAUCCUUACAAUGGCAUUUGAGCAAAAGAUUGUUGCUUAUAUGAUUCCAUUAAUAGCAAGAGUGGAAAUAUGAAAUUGAUUCUUUCGUUUGUGGUAAUGUCUAAAUUUACCAAAAAAGGAAAGAUCCUCAUCACCCAAGUUUCAAUUGGACCGAAACUUGGAAUCAUGCAAGUUGUAUAGUAUGAUGAAUGAAAGCUUUCAAACAUUGGAAAAUUAAGACUAAUUACUUGUUCACAUGGAUGUGUGAGUAUAGUAAAGGACUAAGGGACCGAGUACACGUUCUUGUGCACUAAUCAAGCCCACCACAAAAAAUCGUUAAGACUAUUCGUCAUGAUUUACUAAAGUUUAGUAAAUAUGGUUAUACUUACAGGCGUAAGUGCAAUUCUGAUAAAUUGGAAAAAUUCCAAUGUAUGGCACAACGAAUGAGAAGAAUCAAAUUAGGCAGAAGGAUAAAAGGUUUUCAAAUCUAAAAAGAUGGGAGAGUACUUUAGUAUCAUGUUAUAUGAUCAUCUUAAUGAUUAAGAGACCUUAUCACAAUUCAUCCUCUAAGUGCAUUCUGAUAGCUAAGAAGAGGACCUAUGAAUUGUUGAAGUGGUUAAAUCAAGAAGAUGACUCAUACUUCGUUCCAAAAACAAUUCUUAGAGUCAUACUCCAAGAUUGUAACUUGAGUGACAUAUCUUAAAAGAAGGGUUUAUUAACACUAGUCAAAUGUAAGAGUAAAAGAUUUUCUACUCUUGUACAUUUGAAAUUGGUAAGUUGUGGUGUUUUGGAUAAAAGAAAGGCCAACUUAGGCCAAUUGUGUGCUUGUCUUGAUAAAGAAUCCAGAAAUUGGUAAGUUGUGGUGUUUUGGAUAAAAGAAAGGCCAACUUAGGCCAAUUGUGUGCUUGUCUUGAUAAAGAAUCCACACUAUCUCUUGGAUAUUUGACAAGGGAGUAUUAUAUGUCAAGAGGACAGUAGGAGUCUUAAAGGCCUUGAAAGUCUCAAGAACUAAUCAAGAAUAAAACCUGAAGUUCUUCACUAGCACACGACUUGAGGUUUAUAACCUAUCGUGUUGACAUAUUUUGUGCCCAUUCCAGUUAAAUUUGGGUUUGCAUACGAGUUCUUAGAGUUCUCAAUUGGUUGCAUAACAACUUGGAAGCAAUGGCAGGCCCUUGAGCUACCAGGUGGAAGAAAUUCAGAUUGAGUUCAGUCCAUAUGAGUUUGGAUUUGUCAUUAUCCUUGUCUUGUGACUAUGGUUUUGACAAUUCACAUGGAUAAGAACACAUACACCAUUAAAUCUAAGUGUCAUAAGGUUUCUCUCUGAUUCAUGAAAAUGAUGGUGAGGAAACACUUUCACUAAGUAGAUUUUAGCUAGAUAGCAAUUAUGAUAUUUGCAUUCUCAAAGUCGUUAGUGGAGCGUGCGUGGUUAACCGGCACACUAACAUUGACUU
rnacentral:lncRNA from 1 species